rnacentral:lncRNA from 1 species
UUAAUUAACAUCUAACGUGAAACUUUUAACUCAUACUUUUCACGAUAAAUCAAAUACCUUACGUUCUUUGAUUUCUUACCGUUAAUUAAAGAAAGCACCAAACUACAUAAAGCUGGCAAUAGGAUCAUUAUGUAUUAUCAAAGUGAUUAUUUUAUGAAUACAGGAAAAGGAUUUUUUUCAUCCUUUGAAUUUAGAAUCAUAAAGUAUUUUUAGAAUGCUACCUGUUUUGGGCAAAAGUUAUGGUGCAUAAGUCCUUCCCUUAUGCACCCUGCAUAAGCUCUUUUCAACCUUCAGAUUGGUUUUACACGUGUAAUAAUCUCGGCUCACACUCUCCUUCACAUCUCAUACUCUCAUUUUCCUCUUCUCACCUCGCCGAUCGCUGCUCGCCGCUUCUUUGCCGCCGCUCGCCUCUCAAUCUCUACCGCCGCUCGCCGCUCGCCUCUCAAUCUCUACCGCCGCUCGCCGCUCGCCGCUCGCCUCUCAUUCUCUACCGCUCGCUCAACUCCGAUUAACCUUCAGGUUUCGCGUUUGUGAUGUUUUUCAGUGUUGGAUCGGUUUUCAAUUUCGCAUUUUUGGUGAUUUAUGAACCAUUCCCUGUUCCUGUGAUUGAAUUUAUUGAAUUUCUUAAUAAAUUCAAUAGAUUGUAUUUGUUGAAUUUAUUGAAUUUCUUAAUAAAUUCAAUAGAUUGUAUUCCCUGUUACCUGUUCCUGUGAUUUUUAUUGAAUUUGUUGUGUGUUUUUCUGUUUCAACCACACAAAAGAUUAGCUAUUAUGAGUUUUGGUUUUGUACUCGAAAACCAUUUAGUACAUCUAAUGGUUUUGGAGUACAACUCACAGAAAUCAUUUUAACAGUAAAUUUAGCUUCAGUUGUAGUUUCAAUUUAUCAUAUGUAAAUGAACAAUUUAGCUUCAAUUUAUCAUAUCUAAUGGUUUUUUGUUCUUAAUAGUGUUAUUGUUGUUUUCAUGGAUUUGAUAUCAACUUCAUCUAAGAGUGGACAAUUGACUGUUGAAACUUCAUCAUCACUGAUUCAUGCUGAUAGUUCACCGACUCAUGCUGAUAGUUCUCAAUGUUACUCCCCUAGCAAUAAAGAAUCAUGGAAGUCUUUAGUCUUUCAAUCUAUUAAAGAGAUUGAAGAUUUUUAUGGUAAUUAUGCGUAUAACACUGGAUUCUCUAUUAGGUGUAUGUUGAAGUCGAAGAUCAAUUCACAAAAUAAGAAAUCAGAUAAGGUACAUUAUAUGCGUUAUGUUUGUAACAAACAAGGUUUCAAGAAGGGGAGUCUGCUUAAUCCUAACAACAGGUCAACAUCAGACAGUCCAGUGGUUAUUGAGUUUGUGAAAGUGAAAGAAAAACCUGAUGAAAGGGUUGGUUGUAAAGCUGGAAUAUUUUUGAAGCUGGAUGAAGUUUUGAAUGUCUAUAGGAUAUAUAGAUGGGAUGUGGAUCACUGUCAUCCAUUACAUAAACCAGAGCAUUUGUGGUACCUAAGAUCAUUUCGAGAAGUAAAUGAAGUUCAAGGACAACUUGCUUUAAUAAAUUCUAAAGCUGGAAUGUCGAUGAGAACGUCUUAUGAAGUUAUGGGUCAAGGAGUUGGAGGCACGGAGAAUCUUCCUUUUCGGUUUUCGGACUUAAAGAACUAUCUAAUGACAAUUCGUCAAAAGGAGAUGGUGGUUGGUGAAGCAACUGUAAUUCAAAAAUUCUUAAUAAUACACUUGAGACAUUAAUCCAAAGAAAACAAUUACCAACAUCAAAUGGUUUUGGUGUAAAACUUUCUGAAAUCAUUCCUUGUGCCAAAUGGUUUCGGGCAGUAUUAACAAAUUCUAAUUGUUUUUAAUUUUACAGUAUUAACAAACAAAGGCAUUGAAACACAGAAUUAACAGUAUAUUAUUCCUGAGAGAUUAACAAAAAGUUAUUAAUAAUACACUUGAGACAUUAAUCCAAAGAAAACAAUUACCAGCAUCAAAUGGUUUUGGUGUAAAACUUUCUGAAACCAUUCCUUGUGCCAAAUGGUUUCAGACAGUAUAUUAAUAAUAUACUUGAGACAUUAAUUCCAACUGUUUUUAAUUUUACAGUAUUAACAUCUUAGGAUUCAAUUGGAAGUGAUGAAGGAGAAUGGUGUGUUUUCACCAAGUUAGGAUUAAUAAGUUGCACGGCUAAACUAGUCGAACAAACGUAACAGAUAGGCUAUAAAAUGAUGCAGAUGGACUGAUGCAGUAUGGGAACUCUAAAUUCAUUAGCUUAACAGACAAAAUUACAGCAAUUAGUAUACAAAAUAUGGCAGAUGGUAUUGUAGCAUAUGGCAGCUAUAAUAAAAGUAAGAAUAUGUAUACAAAAAUACUCUUCUUUUCAUCAGAUUCUUCUCCAGCAGAUUGUUGUUUUUUCUGAUCCGGCUUCUUUUUCAUCUUUUUACCACUCUUCUUUGCAUUUUUGUCAUCUGAACUUCCUUCAUCAGAUUGUUGUUUCCUUUUCCCACGGUUUAUCUGAUCCGGCUUCUUUUCCAUCUUUUUACCAUUCUUUUUUCCAUUAUCGUCAUCAGAUGCUUGCUCCUGCUCUGAUGGUGUAAGUCCAAUACUGAAGUUUGGAAUUGGCCCUAGGUCGUUAGAUUUGUUAACCUGGAUCAAAGAAAACAAUUACCAGCAUCAGAUGAUUAUACUAUACUUGAGACAUUAAUCCAAAGAAAACAAUUACCAGCACCAAAUGGUUUUGGUGUAAAACUUUAUGAAAACAUUCCUUCAUGAAGUUGAAAGCAUUCCUUAAUGGACUCCAAAGAAGUGCUGCACAAACUAAAAAGAUCUAAGCAACAAUGUGUAAACUUAUUAACUACAAAUUUCAUGUAGUUUCACUAGCAAGAGGAACCAUUAAGUACAUCUAAUGGUUUUGGAGUCCAACUCACAGAAACCAUUUUCACAGCAAAAUGGUUUUGGAGUCCAACUCACAAAAACCAUUAAGUACAUAAAAUGGUUUCAGAGUAAAACUUGCGAAAACCAUUUACACAUCAUAUUGGUUUUCAGAGUUGAUUUUCCAGAAAUUAAACCAAUUCGAAAUUAAACAUUAUGAAACCAUUUCCAGAAAUUAAACAAAUCAACACUAUGAAACCAUUUGCAGAAAUUAAACCAAUUCGAAAUUAAACUGUGAAUUUAGGGUUACAGAUGAAACCUGUUUUGUUUUCAUCAUUUCCAACUGUUUUGCGGCGAUGAUGAUGAAGAUUAUGAAUGCGGUUAUGGUGAAUGCGAUUUCCGGUUAUGGAAGUUUGUUUCCAACGUGAUUUGCAGUGGUGGAAGUUUGCGACGUGAUUGUUACCGUUCCGACGUGGUUUGCUUCCGGUGGUGAAUGUUGUUUCCGACGUGAAUGCGGUUAUGGUGAAUGCGGUUUCCAGUGGUGGAAUGGUUUCCGGUGGUGGAAGUUUGUUUCCGGCGUGAUUUGCGGUGGUGGAAGUUUGGUCGUAUUUGUUACCGUUUGUUGGAAGACGGUGAUGUGUGUUGUUUUGUCUUGUUUGCUUGCAUGGUGUAGGAAGCAAUUCUUUUGGGAUGUAGGAAGCAAUUCUAUUGGGCUAGAUGCAUAAUGGGCUGGAUUAAUGCAGGCUUAUGCAUGGUGCAUAAGUUAGGCUUAUGCAUGAUAACCACACCCCUGUUUUGGACGGAGAUCAAACUAAGUGGGCCACACUAACAUCAGUACAUAUCCCACACACAUUUCAACCUUGUUUUGACUCGGUUGUUCCAACAAAACAUUUUUAAACAUUCUCCUGUUUUAGUUUUAUUGUUGGUUGGGAUCUUCCUUGUGACUAAAGUUUUGAAGUUUGACGAUAUCAUAUCACCAACAAAUUUAAGCCUUCACUCACGCAUAUUAUGUCUUUGAUGUCAUUGUCUUCCUAAGAAAAAGGUUAGUGUUUGUGAAUUGUGACAAAAAUAUAUAUGUGCACUCAUCAUGUUAUACAACUGCCCAUGGCUGAUUUGUCACUAUAGUUGUCAUAUUUAUUUGGCAUCCAUUGUGAAUGAUUUUGGUAGAGAGUCUUGCUGAUCUAAAAUAAUAUAUUGUUCAAUGAAUUUGGUGGGAGGAUUACGUUGUGGAAAAUAGUAUUAAUUUAUUUAUACUAUCGUAUUCAUGGCAAUAAAAUACAAUAUAUUAUCAUUCUUGUAUUAUUAUGUUAGAUUAUGUUGGUUGAAACUUGAAAACAACUUGAAGAAGUUAUUGGUCCCAUAAUUUUUAUAUAUUGAAUCGAAUGAUGGUUUUGAGGAGUGCUAAAGAUAUAUAUAAAUUUUAGUCAUGCUAGCUAGUUACAUCAGGUAGUUCUGGACCUAAAAAUUAUAUUCUUUCAAUUUAUUUUUUUUACAAAUCUUCCACAUCUUAUUAUGUGAGUGGUGGGAUCGAUUAUUGCUCUUUAAGCAUCUAACUAUGGCUCACAUGCACUUAUCGAACAUUAAUUUACUGUCACUCGUCACUUAUUAAAUUGGUCAAGACACUUUUUAAAUCGACUCAACCAAUUUAAAAAGUAUGUCGAAUGGUGUGAAUGCAUGGGCUGUAGUAUGCAGACAAUCCAAAUCCUGCAAUUAUAUAUAUGUAAUAAUAUAGCAAUAAUAUCACCCGAAAGUCUUUAUGACCAAAUGAACUUUUAGUCAUUUUCUCAACCACCAACGAUAAAAGGAAAGAAAAUGAGACCCAAACAAGGGGAACAAAAAAUAUAGUUCUUCUCUUAUACUUACUUAAAAACAUGGAAAUUCAAAUAUCGUCUUGGAACUUGAGCAGUGUUAUGGUAUAUCUAUUUGUUGUGAAUUUAGAAAUAGAUACCGUUAAGCACUUCACAAAACACCUAUAGGCAAGUGGUUAUAAACUGUUGUUGUUAAAUACCUUCAUACAUAGAACAACACCCGAGGUAAGUGAAGCAAGAAUGAUCGAGACUCCCUGCCUAGAUUGCCAAAACUCAUACCAUGUCAAAGGUCCAGUGACCCGAACCAAAACGUUCUGAAAUUGUUCAUUCAAGUCAUCAAGUGAACCGGUGUUGUCUAUUACUAUAUCAGCUUUACUCCUUUUAACAUCAAGCGGCAUCUGAGCAUUAACCCUGUUCCGACCAUCCUCCUCACUAGAAUUGUCUCUUGCCAAGAGUCUCUGAAUCUGUGUUUCAGGAUCAACCCACACAACAAUUAUGGGCUUCGUGAACUUGUCAAUCUUGGCCUCAAAUAACAAAGGGACGUCGAGAACGAUGACCUUAUAACCUUUUGACCACAGCUUCACAACUUCCCAAAAGAUCCCCGAGGAUAUAUAAGGAGCCAACAAUCUAAAACAACCAUCACAGCAGAAACUUCAAAAGUAAAAACAAAAAUCAAAUCAAAUGUAAUGUAAUGUAAUUCCCACGACAUAAAUUUAGAGUACCGAUUGAGAAAUUGACGCUUAUCAGGAUCGGCAAAAACAAUUUGGCCAAGUCGGGGUCUGUUAACUUCACCAUUGUCUAGUAGAAUUUCCUCCCCAAAUGCUUCAACAACCUUUUUCCAUCCACCACUUCCUUUUUUCAACGCCUCCUGGUAAUUCAAAUCAUAAUAAUAACCACUGAACUUGAGAGGGUUUUGCCCAAAUUAAAAGCAAAAUCAAAAGAAGGAAAAACACGAUGAAAAAGAAACAUACACGGGCAACUACAUCAGCGUCGACAACAGGGAUGUCAUUAGACUUGAAUAAAUUGGAAACAGUGCUCUUGCCACUUGCUAUUCCACCAGUCAGUCCAACGAUCCGCAUUAUUUCUAUCUAAUACUGCACCCUUGCUACUUGUAAGCUAUUAAUUCUGAAUUUUGUUUUCACUUCCCCUGAUGAGCAUUGAUGGUCAUAAAAACAAUACAUAUGUCAACAUGCACACACAUAAAAUCUCAAAUAAGUAUGCAAAUUUAGGGAUACUUGACAUAAAGGCUUAGUACUAAUAACUACAUCAGAUCAAGCACAAUAUACAACUGUAUAAACAUAGAUCAAUAUGUGUGUCCAUCAAUAGAGGUACUAUACCAUACCAUGCCAGCGGUAGCAGACUAGCGGCAGUAAUUACUAAAAUGAUAAAAUUAGGAUGCUCAAGUAACAAGUCAGAAUAUUAACAUGAAUCAUACCAAGAAUAAAAUGUUUUAUCUUUUACUUAUUUAAUUAACAAUUGAGCAAUAUUGUACCUCAAGUGACUAUAAUAAACCUGAAAGUGACAUCCAAACCAUAAACUCUUGAAUUCAUUACCUUAAAAACCAAAUACAUUCUUUUGUUGCAUAAUAUUUUAUAAAAUAUUGCAAACUGAUUUGAAGGUAGAUGCUUUAUUCACAGCUCUACACUCUAUAUCUCCAAAAGCUGAUGCAAAGUCACUACACCAAGGUUGUGUUUGGAUGUAAAAUUUCAGGAAAUUUUAAAUGGAAGGCGAAUAGACAAUUACAUUGCAUCUAUAGACUUUUUUAAAAACUAUCAAAUUACUAGUUUCAGUGGUUAUUUUGAGAAUUAAAAUACUGGUGUCCAUGCAAUGCAAUGAAAUAAUUCUUAUGAAUUAAGUGGGUUUAAGGCAUUUCUUGUUACAGGUAGUGAACAUCAUCAUCUCAACCAGUCCGAAAACAGGCUUUCAACAAGUCAACUCGAUGGCCAAGAUAAUCACAGUCACGUAAAUAAUAAUUAUAUCUAUGGCCAAGAUAAAUUAUUAGUCACAUAUUUGAUCAAACAUUUUAUGGGCCAUGAGGAAAUCAUCAUAAACAGCUCACAACAAUAAUCACAGUAACUCUGAAAAAAAUAUAUAGAUGGUUGAUUGUGCAUAAUUUGGUGGAUUUCUAAACUCAAUAAUCAAAUCAUACAUGUGUUUAGUGUGCCAUUAAGCAUAACACAAAAGUAUGAAGUUUGAAAAUAAGGUAAUAACAAUGAUUUCAUAAUACAUAUAUAUUACUCAUAGUUAGAGGUGUCAAUUUAAGGGGCCUUCAUAAUUUUUUUUAUAAAACAACUUAUUUGCGGCUUACAUAAGUUAUUUCUAUAGCAAAAGAUAAAAUAAAGUUAAAUAAUUUUGGGAUAUGCUAUAGGCUAUUUUUAUGCUAUAAGCUAUAUUAAAGAACUUAUGAAAAUAAGCUAAAAAAAUGAAAAUUGGCAUAAGCUAUUUUUAUGCUAUAAGCUAUUUUUAAAAACUUAUGAAAAUAAGCUGGAAAAAAAAAUGAGAAUUGUCAUAAGCUGUUUAAUACUAUUAACACUAUUAGUCAACUACACCAAUGUUUCAGAAACUAUCAAUCAUGCAAAGAUUCAGAACAGAAGAACCAAACCAGAUGGAUUUUAAAUAGCAAUUUCCCAAUGUGAGUAACUAACUAAAAGCACAGGGAUGAAGAUAAUACAAAAUUAUAUACCCAAAUUCAUCCUUAAACCGUAAUUCUUCCAUCAACACUGAAAUUAUAUACCCAAAUUCAUUCUAAAUCAACUUAAAAUCUUAGCUGGGUCAUGAAGCUAGUACAACCAAUUUAAUACAACUAGAGUCAUAUGAAAAACUUCCAAUUCAAUGUUUAAACAACCCUAACAAUGAAGAUUCAAAGCAGAAAGGGGGAAACAUGAUAAUUGAUCUAUUACCUGUUGUUGGGCGAGGCAAAAACUGGACGGGUUGAAUCCGAAGGCGGUGGACGGAGGAGGGCCGAAGUCGCGCGAUUUCGAAAUGAGAAAUGAUAUUUGUGACAACUUUUUGACAACUAUCUCUUUCAUAAUCACAUCAUAUUUUUAUUUUCUCUCCUCCUUUUUUUCUCUCUCCAUUGUUUUUAACCAAUAGAAAGAGAGGAAAAAAAAGUUGCCAUGAUAAUUGUCAAAAAUUGUUUGUCAAAUAUCACUACUCUUUCGAAAUAUAGACAGUGGGAAACGUGUAAUAAGAAUCAGAGAAAUCAUUCGCAGAGUACUAAAAUAUUUCAUCAUAUAUUUGCUAUAAUAUAUUAUUAACAUUAAGUGCAUCUGGUGUAGUGGCAUCAUAGUACCCUCCCACGGUACGGACCAGGGUUCGAUUCCCUGGAUGUGCAUUUUCUUUUUUCCACUUUUUUUACAAAAAAUUUAUGUAAGGUUUCGUUUGAUACUAUUGAUAAUUUGAUUUGAUAUUUGUUCAAUUUAAUUUAAUAAUUGCUUAAUCUUAGGAGAUUAAAUUGUUUCAUUCCUAUUCCUAUAAUUUUGAGGUACUACUAUAAAAUAGUGAUUGAUGCAUUUUUUUUUCUUCUUUAUUUCAUUAUUAUUCUCUAAACAGAUGAAUGGGAACAUGAGUUGUUUGGCAGAAAUAGUGGUAAAACUGCUGAAAAGUUUCUGCCGUACACAAAUUCAUGUAAAACAAAUUCAAGCACAAAUCAUAAUUCACAACCUUCAAUCACACACAACAAUCGCAGAGCACUUAAUCACAGCAUCUCAAUCCCAUAACCUUCUCAACUCUGUUUCACCUCUCUUCACUCACCUCAUUCCAAAACCACACGUUUUCAUCUUCAACUCUCUCAUCAGAGCCUUCUCUCAAUCCCAUAACCUUCUCAACUAUGUUUCACCUCUCUUCACUCACCUCAUUCCAAAACCACACGUUUUCAUCUUCAACUCUCUCAUCAGAGCCUUCUCUCAUUCUCAUAUCCCCAACACCCCUUUCUCUCUAUACUCCCUAAUGACGGGUGAGUGGUGAAAAAAAAAAAUUGGUACAAUGUGAGGUAGAAAUUUUGAGUUUGUACUGUUAAAAUUAAAUAUCAGACCAAAAAAACAUAUGAUAUUUACAAAAAAGAGAUAAAGAAGGAAGAGGUUUUGAACUUACAAUAACAUUAGCUCAGAUAUAAAUCCAUGUCAUUACCACCAACAAACAAUGGUGAUUUUAAACAUAGAAACAAAACGAGAAUUUCAAACAAAACAUGGGAUUUCAUGGAUAUGAAGUUUAUUGUAAGUUCAAAAUAUCUGCAACACAAGAUACACGAAUAAUAUCAGUCAUAUCAAUAAUUUUCGGAUUUGGAUUGGACAAGGUUUAAGGACUCAAAUAAACACGGAAAGACACAUGAAUGAACAAUAUAACAUAGCAAUUUUUUUUUAAAACAACGCCUUUUAUUCAGUGGCGGAGCCAGACAAAAAAGUUUGGGGUGGCUGCUAUUAAAAAAACUUGCGGAAAAAACGGGAAAAAAUACAAAGAGGUGCCGCCUAAAUACGUAACACCAAUUCACCGAGAAAAACCAAAACCAACAAUGGCAUCAAACAAUGAGGCCGAAGUAUAUACUAGCAUAGAGCAAGCAUACCCCUGCCUCACUCCCGAACUAGACAAGCAUCAUUGAAAAGCAACCACCAAAGACAGAAAACAGCUGCAAGCAGCGCUGAUCUGCUACACCAGCAGCACCAAAAAACCAGUAAAAAACUGAAAACAGCAGAAAAUAAACUGGCAGUAAGGCACAGACAGCUCUGAAUACUAAACCAUGAUCUCUCCUAUGGCUCUUGCUCUAGCUAGUUGUCAAACUCAAAGUUCUUUUCUAAGGUUUCAUUUUAUCAUAAAUAACUCUUCUUCUCUUCUCCAACAUUAAGCUACAACCGCAUAGCUAUCUUCUUGCUCCAAUUUAUCUAACAUUACAUAAAAAUAUUCACAAUUUCAAACAACCAUCAAAUAUACUGCAUUUUAACUGCAUAUCAUUUGUAUCGUUAAAGCAUUUAUAAAAAGCAGAGCAAAGAUGCAGAGACACUCUUAUAAAUACUAAAAAAAUAUUCACAAACUUGAGUCAUCAUCCAUUCCACUCCAUUAGCUUUCAAUUUGGAGCAGUUUAAGAUGUAAAAAGUUUAGUCCUACAUCAAUAAUACUAUAUUUCACAUAAAAUUAAUCAGUAGAUUCCUCCAAGAAUUUACCACAAAGACUUAAACAAGUAGUUUCAUUAGAAAGUGAAACCAUCACUAGGCUAUGAUUAAAACUAUGAUUAACAAAAAAAUCUUUGUAAAGAGAGUAAAGGUUAUGCAAUUAUGAAUUUAUCAAUUAACAAAGGACAGUGAAUAUGGUUACGACCAAAGGGGCAAAGAACAACAGUCAACAGGUUUAACAAUUAGAGUUGACAAUCAACUAAAGAACUCAUGGCAAUCAACUAAAGAACAUGUAAUCAUCAAAUUAUAAUCAUAAUUGAAGGAAAUUACAUUCAAUUUCACAUUACCUUACAAGUUACAACAAUUAGGGUUUGUGGAGAGAGAUGGAGAUAGCUCUCUAAACUGAAGAAGUAGGAGAGUAAUCGCGGCGGCGGUGAUGGAUGGAGAAGGAGGAGAGUGGUCGCGGCUCACCGGCGGUGGUGGAUCGAUUUGCUUUGGUUGGGAGAAGAAAAGGAUCGCGUUUCUCACUUGCUCUCAGAUGAAAGAGAAACGGGAAGAGGAAAUGAGACUGAAUAGAAAAUAUUAGUACUAUUGAAGGAUAUUUUUGUAAUUUUAUAUUAAAAAAAAAAAUUUAGGAUGGGGUGGCUGGGGUUUGUUGGGGAGGACAAGAAUGACUAUUGCUGUUCCCACAUAUAGUUUGGCUGUGCCACACGAGUAAAAUACCAAAAUGUCCUUCGGCAGUUUGCUACCGAGGUUUUUAGGAACCGGCGGCAGUUAACUGCCGAAGUUUUUAGAACACCCGCGGCAGUUAAGUGCCGAGGAAAACCUCGGUAGUUAACUGCCGAGGAGAAUGUUAUAAGAUCAGAACUUCAUAGGAGUUUCCAAAACUCCAUUGUUGCGUUUUUAAUUUUUCAAGGUGCGAUUUUGAGUCAUUUGAAGCCAUUAGAAGCCAAUUUUAAUCACAAAAACAAGUAAGUUUUUUGAAUCCUAUUGCAUUGUUGCUUUGUGGUCGAAUUGUAUGUUAUUUUUUGUUAAAUUUCGAUUAUAUAGGUUCGAUUAUAUUGAUUUGUUGAUUUUAUGAUAUGUUAGGAUAGUUUAGGUUAGAAUGGUUAGAAUUGUUAGGAUAGUUUAGGUUAGUGUAGGUUGAAUUGAUCGCCAUAUUUUUUUAAAUGUAGAUAUGUCUCAGAAUCAGAAUCAGGGUAACGUUCACGAUGAUGAGACGAAAAAAGAAAAGUCACCUAUGACAUGGCAUGGAAUUGUUUGCGAUGGUUCCGAAAAAAAGAAGGGUUCGAAGGUGCCGGUGUACAAUCACUCGAGGUUGAGGAGGAGCGGGAGGACAUGCUAUUUCGGUCCUCAACCAAAACAAGGUACCGCAGGGACUGUAGCGGACAAGCCGAUUGAUUUGUGUGACGAGGAAGAAUGAAUGUAAUGGCUUUUAAUGCCUAAUUAUUUUGGAUUUUUUUAUGUUUUAUUUUUGUGUCGCGCACAUUUUGUUUGACAUUAUGGUAUGUAGAAUUNAAUUGCAUNUGGAUCCAUCGUUCAAGAUGCUCAUCGAAUACUGGAGUCCUGCCGAUUAACAAGUUUGAAUUGCCCCAUCGCAGGGUAAGACAAUUGUUGCAGUUGGAAUGUGCAUUCCAACCACAACAAUUCUGUUACCUUUGAAUGGGAUAAAUUCAAACCUGCAAAACAACAGGACUCAAGCAUUUCGCCAAACACCUCAUGUUUUCCCUUUGAAAAUAAUAAAUUUUUGUGAGGCUUGCUUUAGAUGAUGGUAUUCAAGUGCCACCGAAUUGAGGUUCAAUCCUUGACACUUAAUACCUUCAUCUAAACCAGCAUAACAAAAAUUUAAUAUUUUCAAAGGAGAAACAUGAGGUGCUUGCGAAAUGCUUGAGUCCUGUUGUUUGACAAGUUUGAAUUACCUCAUUCAAAGGAAUACAAUUGUUGUAGUUGGAAUGCACCUUACCCUAACUAAUGACGAUCUUGUGGCGGAAUCAAACUUUUGAUGAUAUCUUCAGUUGAUCUAAGCAACUUCACCCGCAUAUCGAUCCACUGGAACAUGCUGUGCUCCCAAAACAUGGUCGUCACGUUUUCGUCGUUCGUUAAUUCCACCCAACUGAAUGAUACUCUCCCCUCGUCGAGUGUUGGACGUUUAUACCAAAUGUGUUCCACCAUCCUUGUGUCUCUGGGGUUGACUCCUUGGUUGAAUUCAGUCAGUGUAUCCUUGAGACCUCUUAACGUUACACCAAGGCACCGAACCUUCAACCUCUGAGGUUCUCCGCCGUUGAAUUGCGCAUGAACGUCGAUCCACCCCGCCAUUGUUUUAAAUCUACACAAUAAGAAACUAAAAACAAUCAAUCAAAAACACAUUAUACAUACACUCUAAAAUUCAUAAAAAUAACCCUAAAAUUAUAAAUCAUAUACUCUUACUAAAAUAAAAAAUUUAUAUCAUAUAACAUAAACAUCAUGCAAAUAUUUUAACAACAUUAAUCAACAACAUAUACCCUAAAAUUUAAUUAUAACAUGUAAAUCUACUAAAAAAUAAUAAAUGUACUCAAAAACUAAAAAAUAAUAACAUUUAUAACAACUAAAAUGUAAGUUAAUAGCAUUAUAAUUACUUACUUGUGAUUUUGUUGAAUAAAGUUUGUUGGAUUUGGUUGUGUUUGUUAGAGAGAAUUUGAGAAACAUUUGAAGAAAUUUUGGAAGAUAAGAUCAAUAAUGGAUGAGAGGAGAUUCUGCCAGAUUUUGUAGUGCAGAAGUUCCUCGGCAGUUAACUUCCGAGGUUUACCUCGGCAGUUAACUGCAGCCGGAUUUGAGAAAAUUUCGGCAGUUAACUGCCGAAGAAAACUGUCGUAGAAAACCUCGGUAGUUAACUGCCGAGGAAAACUGAACAUACUUCACAAAGUUCUCAAGUUCUCUCAAAUCUUCGCCAAUUCUUCUUUCACGAAUUGCGAGCAAAUCAACGGGACACUUAUAUUAUAUUCUGUCAAGUUCUCUCAAGUUCUCUCUCGUCCCUAUUUUUCCUACUCUCAACUUAUUUUUAUGUUUUAUGUUCAUAAAGCAACCUAUAUUUGCACAUUAAAGCAACCUAUUUUUGCACAUUAAACAAAGUAAAAAAAAAACCAUGAAAUUAAAAAUAAUGUCAUCAAAGUAGAAAUAUACAAAUAUACAUAUAUACAUAACUCAAUGUCAUCAAAAGACUAAAACUAAAAAAUAAGUCCUAAAAAAGGAAAAUAGUACUACUGGUCCUGAUCCUGAUGAUGGUGCCUCCUCCUCGGCCUCUGGGCUCUCCUCCUGGUCAAAAUCGGCGCGAUCUGCUCCCUCAUAAAUAUAAAAUUUCAGUUUUCUUACAGUGAGCAGUGUCACGCUCCCCCCAAGCGCUCUGUGUCCAGGCCUACAUGCAUCCGCCAACUCGCCGUAUAGGUAGGCGAGGGUCAUAGCUCCCCAGGAAUAAUUACGCAUCCCUGCGUAGCCGUCCGCCAUGGUCGUCAAAUAUAUCAGCUCGAUGCGCUUGUUGCUUCUAUCGCCAAACAACAAGCAUCCGACCAAGUACAGAAGGUAACACCGGACGCAGUAUGUCCUGACCCUCUCCAGCUCCUCAGGAUCCUCCGUACCCGCCAAUACGUUAGCCCUACCAAGGUACGAGGUAUAGAAGUCCCUUAGCCUGGGGUAGCUAAUGUACCCACCGUACUCCUGGUUGCAGAUCUUCUCAGCCUCAUGUUGGGCCACACCAAGAUACGUCAUCAGCAGUGCCGCUCCCUCAUGCUUGGGCAUCUUCUUCCCAUGGGCCAACAUCCGCCCCUCAAUAGGAAGAUGCAUGAGACAUGCGACAUCAUCCAAUGUCACAGUCAUCUCCCCCAUCGGCAUGUGGAAGGUGCUGGUCUCCGGAUGCCACCUCUCGCAUAAAGUAAGCAGCAGGGCAUGAGGCACGGUGGAGUACCCCAAGUAGACCAAGUCAUGUAGCCCGCUCUGCUGAAGCGCAUCCCAAAACCAAUUCUCAUUCCCGUUAGGGCGUCCGAGAGUGAGAAUCUUCGCCCCAUGAUUAAUCGGUUUAAGCACGCGGGUCUUACGAACCUGAAAUAAUAGAAAAAUAAAUUUGGUUUAAACAAAAACACAUAUAAACAAAACAAUUAAACAUAAAAAAUAGAAUUAAAAAAAAUAAACAUAUAACAGUGUAUAUAAUAAUUAAAACAAACACACAUUUAAAGAAAAUAAUUAAACAUAAAGAAAAAGAAUUAAAAAAAAUAAAUAUAGAGGUGGAUAUAAUAAUAAAAACAAACACACAUUUAAAGAAAAUAUUUUAACAUAAAGAAAAACCAAUUAAAAAAAACACAUAUAAAAGUGGAUAUAAUAAUUAAACAAACACACAUUUAAAUUAAAGAAAAUAUUUUAACAUAAAGAAAAAACAAUUAAAAAAAAUACACUUACAUUAUUUGAAUUAUACCAGAGUGGCAACGCCACAUGACCGGCAUAAGAGUGGAGCAAGGACAAGUCAGCCGGUCCACCAGGAAAGGGAGGGUCGGUAGGUAACACCUCCGGUGCAGCAGCUGCUGCAAUGUCAUCCUCGUCUCCUGCAUCCUGCUCAUGUGGUAUAUGAUCCUAGUCAUAUCCACCGUCCGUCACAUCAUGAUGUACCUGAUCCUGAUAGUUCAGGUACUCCACCCCAAUCUGGUCAACAGGCUGUGACGGGUCAACAACCUGUGACUCCUCAGGCUGUGUAGCCUGAGAGCUUCCUGAGCCAUCUCCCCUCCGACCUCUACCCCUCUUUGGGAUGUGGGCACUCUGUCUCUCCCUGCGGUGGCUCUGAGUCAUGGCACGCCUACCACCAAUCAUCCUUGAUGGAUCAAUGGGGUCCUGAUCGGCCAUAUCUACAAAAAAUAAAAAAUAAAAAUUAAUAUCAUUCAACCACUUUAUCAACAAACAGUAAACCUAAACAAAACCUACACUUUCACAUUCAACCUAAACAUAACCGCUUUCACAUUAAACCACUUUACCAAAAUAAAGACAUUGAUUGAACCUAAACAUUAUCAUACACAUUAUCAUUAACAUUCAAACGCAAAAAAUCAAAUGCAUUAUCAUACACAUUCAACCUACACUAAACAUAAUUCAAUAUACACAUUCAACCUAAUUCAAUAUACACUUUUUCAAUAUGCGUUCAACUUAAUUCAACAUACAUGUUUUCAAAUUACAAUCAAGAUCGUAUCCAAUACCUAAACUAACUAAAUAAUCAAUAAAAUUGUCAUUGACACAUUUUAUCAAACACUUUGUGUGCAAAGUAUCAAACAUACUCAAAAUGUGUUAUUUUGCCACCAAUCAAAACCACAUUAUACCCUAACAUCAUUCAAUCAUCAAUUAAACCAACUACAUUCAAUUAUAAACUACAUGCACUCAUCAAAAAUUCAAUUCAUACAUUAACCCUAACCACAUGAAAACUACCAUUUUUUUAAAAAAAAAACCUACCCAAACUAACAUUAUGAUUAAAAAUGAGUCAAGAUACUUACUUGUGAUUAAAUGGAGAUGAUGCACUUGAUUUUGCUGAAAAAUCGAAUUUGGAGAAGUUGGAUGGUUUGGAAGAAGUUUUGAAGAAGCAAGCAAUACUGGAAAACUGAGUUUCUGCGUUCUGGUUAUGUUCAGUUUUCCUCGGCAGUUAACUGCCGAGGAAAUCCUCGGUAGUUUGUUGCCGCCGGUUCACUCAAAACUUCGGCAGUUAACUGCCGAAGGGCAUUUUGGUAUUUUACUCGUGUGGCACAGCCAUACUAUAUGUGGGAACAACAAUACUCGACAAGAAUUGAUGAUCCCACGUUACAUAGCGUUGUGCCAUACGAGUGAAUGACGUUUUUGUCCUUCGGCAGUUAACUGCUGAAGUUUUAGAAAUUCGGCUUAAUUGCCGAGAUUCUGGCAGAAGCUUAUUCAUCUCAUCUUCUUCAAAUUUCUCUCACAAAUAUCUCUAAAAAAUACAACCAAAUCCAACCAAAUUUAUUCAACAAUAUCACAUUUUAUUCAACAAGUAAGUAAUUAUAAACUUAUUAACUUACAUUUUAGUUGUUAUAAAAGUUUUUAUUUUUUAGUUUUUGAGUACAUUUAUUAUUUUUUAGUUUUUGACUAGAUUUACAUGUUAUAAUUAAUUUUUAGGGUGGAUGUUAGUUGAUUAAUGUUGUUAAAAUAUUUGCAUGAUGUUUAUGUUAUAAUUUUAGGGUUAUUUAUUAUUUUGUUGUUUUAUAUUUAUUUUUUUAUUUUAGUUUUUAAUUAGAUUUACAUGUUAUAAAUUAUUUUUAGAUUAGAUGUUAGUUGAUUAAUGUUAUAUUAUAUGAUUAAACAUAAGUUGAAUGAUUUAUAUUAUAUUAUAUGAUUAAUUUUUUUUAUUUUAGUAAGAGUAUAUGAUUUAUAAUUUUAGGGUUAUUUUUAUGAAUUUUAGAGUCUACGUAUAAUGUGCACAUCAAGCGUUUGAUGAAAUGUUUGAAUGAGUUUUUCAUUGAUUGUUUUUAAUUUCUUAUUGUGUAGAUUUGAAACAAUGGCCGGAUGGAUCGACGUUCAUGCACAAUUCAACGGCGGAGAACCUUAGAGGUUGAAUGUUCGGUGCCUUGGUUUAACGUUAAGAGGUCUCAAGGAUCAACUGACUGAAUUCAACCAAGAAGUCAACCCCAGAGACACAAGGAGGGUGGAACACCUUCAGUAUAAACGUCCAACGCUCGACGAGGGGAGAGUUUCAUUCACUUGGGUGGAAUUAACGAACGACGAAAACGUGACGAGCAUGUUUUGGGAGCACAUCAUGUUCCAGUGGAUCGAUAUGCGGGUGACGUUGAUGAGAUCAACUGAAGAUAUCAUCAACAACUUGAUUCCGCCAGAAGAUCGUCAUUAGUUAGGGUAAGGUGCAUUCCAACUUCAACAAUUGUCUUACUCUGGAUGGGGCAAUUCAAACAUGUUAAUCGACAGGACUCCAACAUUCGAUAAGCGUCUUGAACGCUGGUAUUCAAGUGUCAAGGAAUGCACCUCAUUCUUUUGAGACUUGAAUACCAGCGUUCAAGAUGCUGAUCGAAUACUGGAGUCCUGCUGGUUAGCAAGUUUGAAUUUGCCCCAUUCAAUGGUAAGAUGAUUGUUGCAGUUGGAAGGUACAUUCCGGAAUGUAAUGUAAUGUGUAAUGCAAUGUAAUGUGAUAACAUAUAUUUUGUUUUGAAUUGAACAAUAAUUAUCUUAUUUAUUCACUUUUCGAAUUUAUUUAUUCAUUACGCAAUUUUAAUCAGUUGGAUUCAUGUUAGAUUUAAUUAGUUUUUAUUCGAAUACGAAAUUAUUAAAAACGCGACUUUAAUCGAAAUUAUUCCAAGAUUUUAUUCUAAGUACCAUAAUGUCAAACAAAAUGUGCAGAACACAAAAAUAAAACAUAAAAAAAUCGAAAAUAAUUAGGCAUUCAUUCAUUCAUUCUCGUCACACAAGUCAAUCGGGUUUCCCGCUACAGUCCAUGCCGCACCUUGUUUUAGUUGAGGACCAAAAUAGCAUAUCCUCCCGCUCCUCCUCAACCUCAAGUGAUUGUACACCGGCACCUUCGAACCCUUCUUUUUUUCGAAACCAUCGCAAACAAUUCUGUGCCACGUCAUAGGCGAUUUUUCUUUGCUCUUCUCAUCACCCUGAACGUUACCCUGAUUCUGAUUCUGAGACAUAUCUACAUUAAAAACAAAUGGCGAUCAAAACCUAACUAAACAACAAUGCCAAAAAUCAUAAAAUCAAAAACUAAACCUAAACUUAAACUAUCAUCAAAACCUACACCUAAACCUAAACAAUUCUACAACGAUUCAUCAAAACCUAAACCUAACAAUUCAAUAAAAGUUCUCUAACAAUUCUAACCUAAACUAUCCUAACAUAUCAUAAAAUCAUAAAAUCAAUAAAAUCUAUAUAAUCGAACCUAUAUAAUCGAAAUUUAACAAAAAAAACAAACAAUUCAACCGCAAAACAACAAUGCAAUAGGAUUAAAAAAAUUUACUUGUUUUUGUGAUUGAAAUUGGCUUGGAAUGACUUGAAAUAGCUCAAAAUCGCACCUUUGAGAUAAAAAAAACGUAACAAUGGAGUUUUGAAAACUCCUAUGUCUGUUCUGUUCUUAUAACAAUUUCCUCGGCAGUUAACUACCGAGGUUUUUCUCGGCAGUUAACUGCAGCCGGAUUUCUAAAACUUCGGCAGUUAACUGCCGAGGAGCAAAAACGUCAUUUACUCGUGUGGCAUAGCCUUAUCUAAUGUGGGAACAACAAUUCUCGGGGAGGAGAGCUUCUCAAGUUUUUCAUUUGGUUGAAGAGAGAGAAAGAAAAUAACAAAUGAGUGAAUGAUGGUGGAAAAUUGAAAACUUAAAAAUGAAGCUUAUUGGAAAAAACAAAAUGAAAAUGGCAUGUGUACGUACUGUUACAAUUAGUUUUUUUUUUUAUGAAACUAUUACAAUUAGCUUAAAAUUAAAUUAAAUACUAAUAAUUUAAAUGACAUUCCUUCAAAAAAUCAUUUAAAUGGCAUAUCCUUAGACAUGGUACCAAAAUCUGCCCGCCGUCCCGAAUUUAACGGGGAAAUGCUGAAUUAAUUGGGUGCGGGGGAAAUCUGGAUUUUUAGUACGGGGGCGGGGAUGCUUAAACCCGCCCCGCACCCGUUUUUUAAAAUUUACUGUAUAAAAUUUUAUGAUCUUAUUUCCAUAAGCACCAACCUAUUUUAAUAUAUUAUUACUAAUACAAAGGUCUCAGAUUCGAUUUUCUCUGGUGCCAAUUUCGGUUGGCUAAGUCCAUACAGAGCUUGCUCUGGCUUUAAACGGGGCUCCCGCAAGUGGGUGGUGGGAUUGGUCCCCUUGGAUUAGUCGGUUAUUGGAUCGGAUACCAAGUUUUCAAAAAAAAAAUAUAUAUUAUUACUCUUUAGAAACAUAUUUAUUAUAAUUAUUUUGCUCUUUUGAAAAAAGGUUAUUAGAUCUUUAAUUAUUAAUAUAAUUAUUGUUUUUUUUGCUAUGAAAAAAUUAAAAAAUAUGCAUUUUUUAAAUAUUUGAAUAAGAGUUUUUGUUUAUUCUUCUAAUUGAUGAGGGAAUAAAUCAGCAAAUGGAAUGGUUGAGAUUUUUUUUUUUGUGAAUGAAUUGAUGAAUUUUUUUUUUUUUAUUAUUAAAUUAAAUGGUGAGAUUUUAUUAGAAAAAGCUAGCAAGGGGACAUAAACACGUGUCAAUUUGAGAAACGGAAAAAGACGUCAAUUAUUUUAAUGGAUAUUGACACUAUCGAAAUAUACAAGUCUACUGUUGUUGCAUCAAAAGAUGGCGAAAAUAAGAAAUGCAUCUAUGAUAGUUGAAUUCAAUUUACAUCCGACAACGUUUUGCAUAAGGGAGACAAAAUUUGUUGCAGUCUUGAGUUUGCUUUCAAUAGCUUAUUUGUUGAGAUAGCUAGAACAACUUCGUAGAGUUGGAAGAAAAUAAAAAAAUUAGGCGUUUUAGUGGAUGUUUGUCUAUCGUUUUUAUGCUUACUUUUGAAUUAUAUGUAUUAUGUAAUAUAAAUAGAAGUUGGUGUAAUAUGUCCUUUGUUUUUUUUAGUUUGGAAGACUAAUUGGAUAUUGAGACAUAUCUUUUACGACUUUUGGUGAGUUUAAUGUGUAUGUGUGUUGUUGUGAUUUUUAUGUUCACGCAACUAUUGUUAAUCAAUGAUAUUUAUCUUGAAUUGACGACAACCGUGAAUAAUUAUAAUCAUGACAUAAUUUCUACUGCAUUGUAGAAUUAGUUUGUUAUUGUCGUUUUUAACUUUGAUUAAAAAUUAAUUUCAUCUCUGUAAUCAAAUCAUAGUGUUUAAAAUGUUACGAACCAUUGCACGGGUUGGGACACUAGUAAAACUAACAACCUAACUGAAGUUUGCAGGAUGCAGCUUACAUAGGAUCUUUCUGAUCAAAGUACUCUCCUCUCUCACCUUUACCUUUCCCAUUUUUCUAACAAGUAUCCUUUUUGUUUCCUUCCUUCUUUUUCUUUUUUCAAUAAAGUUAAAUUUAAGUAAACCCAACCAAAAAAUACAAAAAAAAAAAAAAAAAGGUAGUAAUAGUAACAAGAUAGAGAAGCCUAAUAAGUAAAGCUAAACAAAGGUACCAAAUUAAAGAUGACCUUGAACUUGAACUGAGGAUUGAGUUUAUUGUUCACUCUAGAUCAAAGAAGUAACUGAUGAACCAAUAUUAGAAGCUUGAUCGUUCCAAACACCAAUAGCUGAUGAUGAUGCUGUAUUCCAGUAAAGUGAAGAAGCAGCUGGAUCAUACAAACCACCCACAUGCUCCAUCUCUCCUUCAUCUUUCUUCGUUCCUUUCUCACUUCCAUUCCCCAAAUUGUUGAAUUCCAAGCCCUGAAAACUGUUGCUACCAUCAUUGAUGAAUUUAUGUUGCAGCAGAGAAGGCAUAACUGAUGCAUUACUUGGUACAGAAGAAGAACUAAAGAUUGAACCAUAUCUUGAAGUAAAUCCAUUUGUAUAACCAUUAUGAUCAUUGGCUUCACUGGACGUAAACCCAGAUGAAAAGCCUAAUCCAAUAGUAUUCAUCUGAGGCUGAAAAUCAUAACCUGAACUUGUUGAGAGUCUAGAGAUAUUGAACCUUGAGAAUGGAAGAUUCACAUCACAAGAGUUACUACUUGAUAAACCAUAAAACAUAGGACUAAUAUUAUGAUUUAAGGUUGAAUUUGAAGAAGUGGUGUUUGGUGUGGAACUAGGAGUUGAAGGAGAAGAAGAAAUAGAAGUAUCAAUGGUGGAGGGUAUUUUGAUGAGAGUAGUAUUGUUACUACGUUUGUUUGAGUUGUUUCUUCUGUAACCACCACCAACAGGAACAUUUCUAAGAGUACCACCUCUUGUCCAAUAACGUUUGCAAGCUUUACAGAAAUGUCUUGGUUGUGACAAACUGUAGUUGUUGUAGUAACAAAACUUUGUGUUUGAUGAGUCACAACGUGGACACUUGAGAGCUUGUUGUUGCUGCUGCUGAUGAAGUUUUUGACCUUGUUUUUCCAUUAUCUUAACAUCAUCUAUUUGAUUCUAAAAUGAUAAUAAAAGAAAGAGUUAAUAAUUCGUUGAUAUAAGAAAAAGAAAAUAAUAUCUAGCUAGGGUAUGUAAUGUAAUGUAUGAGAAAAAUAAUUAAUAUGUUGAUAUUCUAAUCCAAAAGCUAAGCUACAAAAUUAAUUGGAAUGGUCAUGCAAUUUGUGUAAAUAAUUGUGCAUGGAGAUAGCUAGAGAGAGAGAGAGAGAUGAACCUGUGUCCAUUGAUUAGUGGUUGGAGGGAUGACAAGCAUUUUCUCAUAGUUAGAUAACAUUUUUGCUCACCAAAAGAGAAUCCUUCAAGAGUAUACAGACAACAAAGAGCAGUUGGUUACUAGCUUCAAGGGUUUCAAAUAUAAGAGAGUUAGGGGUAAGAAAUUCAAGCCGAAGAUCGGUUAUAGCAUGAUCAACAUAAAUUAUUAUAUUUUAUAUUUUAUAUUAGCCUCGUGUUGACCGGUGUCCUCGCAUAAUUAAAAGAUAGAAAUAUUUUAUUGAAAACAAUACUAAUUUUUUUACUUUCAAUUUUUUUUGACCUUAUUACAUUUAAUGAAUCCAUAAAUAAUAUUUAAAAAAAAAAAAACAAUUUCUAACUUUGAUUUCAACACAUAAUUUUUUUUUAUAUCUUCCUUAACAAAUGCUCUAGCAUGAUCUUUAACGAUAAUAAUAAUCUCUACUAUUUUAUAAAAAGAAAUCUUCAAAGCUAACUAAUAUUAAUUAUUCAUUUUGAUUGUAAUUUUCAUGGAUAAAUUUAUCUUUAAUAACCUAGACACUUCAAUUUUUUUAACUCUUAUUUUAUCUAUAUCUCUCUUCCUAUUACAUUAAGUAUUGGUAAAAAGAUAUCAUUAUCAGUGCGUUAGACCUAAAAAAUGAACGUGAAUUUCUUUUUACCGUGACUACAAACAUUCAAACGGGACCUUGAAGUGCAGAUCCAUGUGUUGGCAGCUCAGCUUCUAAAGGAAAAGGAACAAAAAGAAAGAUAAAGCAAAAACACAACGAGGAACAUAUGGAUUUUGUAGUAUUCCAAGGGAUCUUCUAUUUCUUUGAACUCCCCAUCAUUAUUCUUUUGCAGUUCAAUAUUCUAUUUUAAACCUUGAUUUUAGUUAGUAAAAUACUACAGUUAUAAUACUACUAUAUGCCUUUUCUAUUUUAAUUAUUAAGAGUGUACAAUCUUUACAAAAAAAGAAAAAAAGUGUAGGGUACAAGGUGCAAUUAUUUAAACUAACCAUAUACUUUUUUUUACCAAACAAAUCACAUACAUACUGCACAAGUAUGAGUGAAACAAAAAAAAAUAUCAACAGAUCAUAGGGUAAUUAACGCAAAUGAGAUUAAUUAAAAUAUAAAAUAAUUAGUAAAAAAUAAAUAAAUAUAUUGAUAUAAAUUUUUUUUUAAAGUGUAAUCAAUCACACCCCAAAUUUAUUAGAGAUGCAUUUGAAAUAGCUUAAAUAUUUAAGUCUAUAUCUUAUGAUGUAUUGUGCAGCUAAUUGAUAGAGUAUAGAAAAGUAGUUUAUAUUAUAUGUCUAUAAUUUAAUAUAUAUUUUAUGAAGAAAUGUCUAUUAUCUAUUUUGUUAAACUAGUGUCAGCAAACACAAUAUGAUUGAAAUGUUUCUAUAAUCUUUUAUUUAUUUACGAUAUUACAGUGUAUAAUCAUUAAAAAUGUUAUAUUACACUGUUUUGUUAGAGUUGAAAAUAUUCAAAGUUGAUAAGUUUUAGUGAAAAUGUUGAGGAAUUACGUUUUUACUCAAUCAUCACAAUCAUUUCAUACAUACUUAAAAAAAAUUGAUUACAUCAACAACAGUAGAUACAUUUGAAAGUUUGCAUAAGAAACCAUAUAUUCUUAGUUAAUCGAUCACUCAAGUUUAGGUUUGAAAUCAUUAUUUCACGACAGUCGGUGGCUGUAGAAAGUGAUUGGAUAGUUUGUUAUCAUGUGAAAUAACAACAAACAUGGGAAACUAAAGAAUACAUGGUGAAUGAAAAUAUAUAUAUGGACAGACACAAGACAAAAUAUAUUUGUCUAGGGAGUGACAAUCGUGUCAUUUAAGAUUUUAAAUUUGGAUGCAUAAGAAGAAAGGGUAAACAAUCAUUUAAGAUUUUUUUUUUUUUUUGAGCAAGUUACUAUAAUAUUUAAAUAUAUCAAAACUAAAAAAAAAAUUGAGUAAGAAAAUUAACAAAUAAUUCAUAAUAGUACCAUGAUAUUGGUAUAAAAAUUACAAAUAUAUUUAUUAUGAAUUUUUUUAUGGAUUUAUUAUGUAUUUUUUAUUAAUCUUUUGAUCUUUAAAUAUAGACUUAAAUAUGAAAAUAGUCCAUGCAAAUACCUGACAUUUUAAUUUUAGUCCCUAUAAAAAUAUUUUUUUGGUUUUAGUCCCUGCAAAUAUAAAAAAUUUGGUUUCGGUCCUUGGUAUUUUGUUUUAGUCCUUGUAAAAUUGAUUCAUAUUGGAUUUGGUCCUUGUAAUAUGUAGAAUAUUUGAUUUUAGACCCUAAAAAUGAGGACUAAAAUGAAUAUUAUAAUGACCAAUUUCAAUAUGAAAUGAUUUUACAAGGAUUAAAACAAAAUAUAAAGGACCAAAACCAAAUAUUCUAUAUUUGCAGGGACUAAAACCAAAAAAAUAUUUUUAUUAGGGACUAAAACUAAAACGUCAGAUAUUUAUGAGGACCAUUUCCAUAUUUAAACCUUAAAUAUAUGUUUAUAGCAAUGAAUUUAGUAAAUGAGUAUUUUUUUUUUUUUAUAAAUUAAUUCAUAAAAUUACUAACAAAAUACCAAAGAUAUAUCUUUAUAAUGUCAAUACACUAUAAUUUCUUCACCUCACACGUAGAUUAAAAUUGUUCUUGCUAAGAGCAUCCAUAAUAGAAACAUCCGUUUUUUGGUACUUAAAUAGAUCAUAUGUGUACACAUCAUUCGUUUAUAAUAUUUUAAUAGUAAUAAGUAAUCAAUCUCUCAAACUUAACUCUCAAACAAAGUUUUUAGAUGAGACUCUCUAGUCAAUUAUCAAUAACUUUAUAUCAUUACAUUUCAAUUUUAUAAUGUUAAAAAAUGUAGAUCUCAUUUAAAACUAAUGGCCUUAAGUGAGACUCCGGAUCUUAUAAGAUCUCGAUUUUUUUUUUUUUUGCACAAUAGAGGUAUUUAUUAGAUAUCAAUUUUUAAUGUUUAAGAACUCUAAGUAGAAAAUAAAAAAUUAUAAUAUGGUCAUGGGAUUAAAGAAAAAAUGUUUGGUCACACAUACAUAAAGAGAUAUUUUUUAAUAAUAAAAAAGAAAUUGAUAAAAAAAAUGAUUGAAUAUUUUGAGGAGAAAUUUUUUAUGUAUGUGACCAAACACUUUUUCUUUGAUCAUGUGAGCAGGGAGGGAAGAAUAACCAGCGGAAAAUGGUCUAAGAAAGAAGAGAUGGAGGUAGGACCUUCCUUGUGCCUACCCAUACCCACUACUACUCACUCAUGGACCCCACAUAAUAGUGGGCAAGAGAUUCCAAAUUGGCAAACAUGAAAGAAACCCAACGCCCACGUUAAAGGGGGAGCAUGUAGAUGCACCCGUAAUUAGAGAGGGGGAAAUAAAGCUACCUUAGGAAUUAGGAGGGGGGACCUAAGCAUCAAAACCAACCCAAUUCUACCCAUCAAAAGCUGACAACAAUGCACCCUUAACAAAUGUACAGACAAAGAUCUCACAUUCUCACUCUCCAUUUUGAGAUUGAGUUUAUAUUUGAUUAUUAAUACUCACUCACUUUUUUGUUUGGAACAUUUCAUGUCUCUAUAUGAAAAUACUUUGAUGCCCUUCUGUUGUCUUUUUCCUUGCUAGUUUUGGGCAUUAAUUAAUGACUUACUAUUCCUUCUGUUGGAUUAAUUAUUUAAUUAAUCAAUUAUGGAUUGACAAUAAUCAAUUAUUAUAAGUUAAUGUCAUAAUAUAAAUUAUAGUCUAUUGUGUCAAGCACUAAUUAAUUGAUAAAUAUGUGUGAUUGAACUAUUCUUUCUAAAUGGACCGUGAUGGGUUAGACCAUUUAGCUAAGCCCAAUGAGAGGUCCUUGCCCUCAGCCGUUUAACUAUUUAAACGUCAUCCCAUGAGACGGAUAAACUACUAUAAACAUUUAUGGUGCUAAACGGAAUGAGGGUAGUCAUCCCUCUCAUUCUUCUCCUUCGUCAACCUAAUUCAAAGGUACACAAUUUCUUAUUCCCUUCUUUAUUACUGAUAUGUUAUAACUUAUAUCUAUUGAUCUAUGGCUGAAUCUAUAAACUUUUAUCACCUUCCUCAUGGGAAAUGGAUGAUAUAUUUUGAGAUGUCAUCUCAUUUGUUGAUAAAUAUUGGAUGAUUACAAUCAGUUUAACACAUAGCAAGUAUAACUUUUUGAUUAAACAACAUAAAAAGGGAACAUAUAUUUAAGACUAUGAUGCACAUGGUGAGUUUAAAAUAUGUCUCAUUCGAUUUGUAUCAAAUGCUUUGAAUUAGUUGAUAUGGUAGCUAGUGAUUGUUGAGAGUUAUAUGAAUCAGUAGAUGAUAACAUUGAAUUGAUUUGUUGGAAUAUCUCAUGUACUACUUGUGCAUGUAGAUGAUGAUGAUGUUUAUUAUAGUAAUCCAAAAAAUAUUAUACCAUGAGAGGAAAAAGUACACAUGCUAAUUGAUGCUAUCGUUCAUGGUGAUUGAACAAGACUUAUAAUGAUGCAUGAAUAAAAGAUAAGGAUUGUGAUGUGAGUCUCCAUUAAUCAUAAUUCUACUAAUUGACAAUAACAUUGGGUUAUAGAUCAAGGAAAAAUAAUUCAUAAAUCAUAUGAUUUCUUUGCAUAUCUUUAAAUGUCGGGACUUCCCAUAAAAAAAAAAAAAAAAGGAUGAUUGUAUGACCUUAGGUUGAUUCGCCACUAGCUCUAUUUUAAUCAAAGAAACGUUUUAGUUUAUACACAUAGAAUAGCAAUGUUAUGCACUAUUAUAGCAAUAGAAAACUGGCCUCUAUUUUUUGGUACAAAAGAGGAAAAACUGGUCCUCAACUGCAAAUACUGAUAUUGCCUAUCAGCCAAAUUUUCACUCAGGUACGAAUUCAAUACCUCGCAAUUAUGUGUUAGUUAUAUGUGGUAUUUGCCACUUUGUGACAAAAACUCUUGAAAUAUUUAGGAAUUUUCAUUUAUUCUAUUAUUCUUAAAAGAAAAAUGCUAAAUUAUUUUUUGAAAAUUGUGUAUUCCAUAUUUUAGAAAGGAUUUUUCUAACAUGUGCAAAUUUGCACAUGUUAAGGAUACUAAAAGAAGCAACUUUUUAUUGAAAAUCACACUUGUUAUAAAAAAGAAUAUAUAUUUAAUGUAAAAUACACAAGUUUCAAUAUAAACUUACUACUUUAGUAUCCUUAACAUGUGCAAAUUUGCACAUGUUAGAAAAAUCCUUUUAGAAAUAUGAAAUCCUAUCUUUACAAAACAAAAUUUAUGUUUCAAUUUUAUUUUUAAUUUUUUAAUUUGUGCCCUAAUGUGCCCUUAGAGGGCAAAUUAACAUAGUAAUCCUUAUUAUAAAACUUUCUUUGCAAGGUAUCAACAUCCAUCCAAAUUGGUGAUUUAUUGGGGAAAUUAUUUGACUGGCUUUUCAGUUCUCUAUAUUCUUUAGUGCUAACACAUCUAAAUCAAAUGGUAAUAAUAGUCACAUGACGACAAAAGUGAACAGUAAAUAGCAGGCAAUAGGGAAUAGUCACACCUGGGAAUUGGACCACACAACACAAGGAAGCAUUAUUUAGCAUAGGAAAUUCCACUACACCUACAUGGUCUUUUGAUACAGAAUCUAUCAGUAGAAUAAAAUCACGUUAUGGAUUGGACUGUUGCUCAAGAAAGUUUUAACUAUCCACAAUCCUAAGGUGUCUGAGAGAAUGUUGGGUAGGUACUAUUCUAUUCCACCGUUAAUAUUAUAAUAUAGGUUUAAAUGUCUCAUUGAUCUAUGCACUUUCAUCAGAUUUUGACAUUGGUCUCUGCACUUUGUAAAAAUAUUAGUAUUGGUCCAUCUGUUAACUUUCUGUUAAAAAAAAACACAAAACCAACGGAGUGCCACGUGGCCCAAUCAUUUCACGCCACGUGGCACCAAUAUUUUUACAAAGUGCAGGGACCAAUACCAAUAUUUUUACAAAGUGCAGGGACCAAUACCAAUAGUUUUCUGUUUUUUUUUUUAACAGAAAGUUAAUAGAGGGAUCAAUACCAAUAUUUUUACAAAGUGCAGGGACCAAUUUCAAACAAAAAAAAGUGUAUGGACCAAUGCCAAAAUCUGAUGAAAGUGCAAGGACUAAAGACAUAUUUAAACUUAUAAUAUAAUAUAAUAUUGGCAUGUCCUAUACUACUAUAUUUUAAUCAUAAUAUACUCUUCAGUUUACAAAAAAAAUAUAUAUAUAUAUACUUUUCCCUCUUAAUCAAUUUGUUUGGAUCUUCUAAUUGUUGAAAUGUGCCUUGAAAUCUUAUGCUUUUCUUUGACCGUAUUGUCGUAUUUUUUUUGUGAACUUUGCAUUAACUCUCUCAUUUUUCAUGGGCAUGUCUCACAUGAUGAACUUCACUGCCUUAAACUUCAUUCAUCUCUUCCUUCUUUAGGACGUUUUCAUCCUCCUUAAGUUGUGUCAAUUUUUCCACGGUUGUUACUAUUUUACCAUUGUAUCAUGCAGAUGUUGUUUCAGUUGCAUUUUUAUUUGUCUGUCUUUGAUGAUAAGUAGUUGAUUUUAUAGUGGUAUCAAAAAUAAAUAUUCAAAGUUUUUUAAGAAAUCAAAAUGAAAUUAUAUAACACACCAAGCAGCAUGUGAUAUCCGCGGUGUGCCUAGGAUACCACUAAAAGUUACAAGAAUUAAUGAUCACAACAAACAGAGAUUACACUAGUUAGCCAAUGACCAGGGGUGUCUCUGAGGGGGUGCAAACAGCUCAAACGAGCUGGGCCUCCCUCAAGGAUGGGCCUCAAGAGUGGGGGUUCCUCAUGAUUGAUUUUGGUGUUAGGUGGGGGUUCCUCAUGCAUACGGUAAUCAUUUUCACCUCUGGGUGUACCGCAUGUAUACGGCACCUUGUAUUUAUCUUUUAAAAAAUAUAAAUAGAACAUCGGUCUUUAAAAAAAAUACAUUUUGAUUUUAUCACUGACCUCUUUUCAUUUCCAAAGCCGAGCCUCCAAAUUCUCAGGGACGACCCUGCCAAUGACUCAUGUGAUAUCCGCGGUGACUCAUGUGAUAUUCGUACCUUUCAACAAUUAAAAAGGUUCUGAUUCUAAAAUCAGUAAAUAAAAAACAUCCGAUCAUAGUCAAUUUUUGAAAUAAGAGGGGAUAAAUCAUAUAUUUAACGGUGUUUUUAAUUCUGCUCCAAAAAGGUCUACAACUUGAAUGAACUGGUUCAAUGUGAUAUCCCAUUUUCACUUAUUUAUUUCAAAAAGUAAUUUUAUGGCUUUGUAUCGUUAGACAAAAUUUUGAACUUGCAGGAGAUAAGUUAUCAGUUAAUAUGAUUAAAACUUGCAUGUUUGAUACCAAUAUUUCCUCACAAGCUUUUUGAAGUUUUCUUUUAUUAGCUUAAAGUAUUUUUUUUAAGUUAGUAUUUUUUAUAAGUUAUUUAAAGUCCUUAAAAAAAAGUUAUUUAAGGUAGAUUUUGAGGUCAUAAUUUUUUUCUACUGAAUUUAAACUUAGGGGGGUCUUACUGAAAAAUAUUAAAUAUCAAUUAAAAAUAUUUUUUUUUAUAUCAUUUUAUAUUUAUCGGUUAGUUUGACAACCAAUUUUACUACUACUACAAAUUCAAUUGGUUGGUUUAUCCUCUAUCAACUAUUUAGUUAGAUAAUUUGCUAUCUACGUACCCGCAAUUAAGCUAAUUUACCAACUAUCCACUAUUUUUUGCCAAAGCCUAUAUUUUUUUUUUAAGGAAAAGCCUAUAUUUUAUUUAAAGUGUUCUUAUCUUAUCUUAUUACUUUUUUUAUGUAAUUAUUUCAUUUUAUUAUUUUGCUGAGUAAAUAAAUCUUAUGAUUUUGUAAAUCUCUCACAACCUCGCCUAAUGUAAUUUUUUAUUGACAAACUAUACCAAGAUAUAUCUAUUCAAUGACAAUUACAUCAUAUUAGAAUACAAAAUUUCUAUUUGUCAAAAAAAAAAAAUACAAUACACAAUUUUUAAGUUUUUUUUUUUCUUCUAAUUCCUUAAUCAGUGCCCCGGAACACUGGUUAACAUUUUCCAAUUUUUUAUAAGCUCCUCUCACUCACAACUCAAAAAUCUCUUACCUUUAUCGAAUUGUAACUCUCGGAUAAUUUUUUUUAAGAAAUAGUACAAUCCAAGCAGUAUCCAAACUGACACACACAGGCACACGUUGGCAAUACCACUGCCGAUAUUUGUGCUCUAACUCCCAACAAAUUAUUACAAAUGUUAAACAAUUUGAGAAGUUUAUAAAACAGGGGUCUUGUUAAAGAUUUUAAAAUAGAAAUAAUUAAUAACUUUCAUGUGUAAAAAAUUACUUUUUAAUAUUUCAAUGAGUUGAAUUCACAAAUCCUAAGAUAAAAUUUCUAUUUUAAAUUUUUUAUCAAGAACCCUAGAAACACUUAUUAACAUUCUCCAUAAAACAAUUGCUGCAUAAUUGCUGGUAUCAAGUUCGGGACAAUUUUAGAGAUUGGCUUCUCAAUCAUCCACCAACUUUUGUAUUUAAUAUGCACGAUUGUUGACAAUUGUUCCGUCACGAUAAUGAUAGUGAACAUGUUUUUUGUUUUCAUUCGUAUUCUAAUGAGGAAACCUAGUUGCCCUAUUGAAAUCCCACUUGAUAGUUAGCAGGUAGCGUCCCACAAUUUGAAAAAUAGGGCAAACAGCAAAAUGACAUUUCUACGACAAAUAAAAUAAGCAAUGCUCAAGAGGUUGGGAAGAUCAAGGAACUAAUUUCUCUGCUUGGCUUUUUUGGAGAUGUGAGAGAAGUAAAUUUUUCUACGCACGUUAAAGGAAACAUUUUAAUGUUUAUAUUUAGGUCACAAGUUUGUAUCAUCAAGCUCCGCAUGUGAGAAGUAAUGUUGGACAAUUAAUAUAUGAGCUGUUGUUGUACUUUUUUUUUUUUUUUGUCAAGUAACCUAAUAGAUAGAAAUUCAACUUUAAUGUGAAUAAAGUGGGAUGAUCGGGGGUUCGACCCCCGACCUUUGUAAAUAUUAUGCAUUGUCUCUAUCAAUUUAGUUAAACUCACGGGGACGCUGUAUUAUUUUAUUUAUUGGUAGCUACUUAUUGCAAACAAAAAUAAAAUAUAGGACACACGCAUAUUAAACUAGAGGGCCAUUAAUCAAUUGGUUUGAGGUAAGAUAAAAGAGUUGGAAGGUUCAAAUCUUGACAAGGAGGAAAAAACUAGCAUAGUCAUUAAAAAAAGAGCCAGUUUUCAAUCAAACCGUAGCUCUAUUUCAUAAUAUUUUAUGAGUGGAUCAUUAUUAUUUUUAGUCAAUUGAAUUACAAAAUUUACAUUAAAAAACAAAAUUAGUGUCCCUCUUUAAGUCCUAUAUGGGGGAUCCAUAUUAGAUAAACUUAUAUUUUAUAUUGUCAUACUUGUAACUUGCAAGUAAGAAGGAUCAAGAUUCUCUCCAUUUUUCAAAGAAAUUGAGAACUCUGUUUAUGAAAGAAAUAUACGUUAAAGGUCAGGUGAAUCCACAAAACAAAAGUAUAAGUUUCACUAAACAUGGAACCCUUUAAUUUGGGUUUCUCUUUCAUAAAUUGAGCCCUUUAUUUUUUUUUCAACGAACAAUGGUGAAGAAUUUGAUCCAAGAAUCCCUUGAUCAAACAUAUCCUACCUCGUAGAAAAGUCGGAGACUCGAGAAGGAAUGAAAUAAAUAUAUGUCUAUGGUACCACAAGAAUGAUGGUAGUUUUUUUUUUUUUUAAAGAAAAGAAUGAUGGUAGUUAAAAUUAAAAGUCAUGUCCCCGUGAGUUUAUUUCAGUUGGCAAGGACAAUACAUUGUUACAUGUAGAGGCCGGAAUUCGAACUCCGGAUAUCCCACUUAUUCACUGGUGAAUUCUAUUCACCAGGCUACUUAACAAAAAACAAGAAAAAAAAAAGUCAUAAAAAAUCCAACAUGUUAUAUGUCUCUUUCUCUAUUUAUAUCUGUCGGCCUUGACAUCAGCAUUUUGGGGAUAGUUGAUGAGGUUGUGGCUGCGACAAGUUUAAAUUAAAAGAAUUUGUUUCCACCCUAAGAGGUAUUGCAGAAGUUCAAAAACUCGCCAAACCCCUCCACUAUUUUAAUUUUAGAAUAAAAAAAAGGGUGUGCGAAAAGGUCGGAGGGUGGGAAAAGAUGCAUUGUGGUCUUUUCAAAAUUUGCAUUUGAGCCAAGAGAAAGUCACCAGGCUAGGCCCAAAUAAGCCCAAAGAAGCAUUUAAGAGAAGAAUUUUGUUUUCUUUUCCAAAAACGAUUCGGUUUGUAACCCGAUUUUUGUGUCUUUAUAAUUCACUCGAGAGAUAUAUCCCUAACGGCACUUGUUACUGUUUCCCAAAAAUUAAAUCAUCCUCGAGCAAAAUAGGAGAGGAACUGCAUGACUAGUCAGUGGCGGAGCCAGGAUUAUUGUAAAGCCCGGGCAAAAAAAAAUUGCAACACAUUUAUAGAGGUUUACAUUUGAAAUUGCAAGCAAAUAAUAAAAAAUUUUAAAGAAAUUGUCCAAUUUACAGGGGUUUAUAUAAUAAAUUCAUAGGGAUUUACAUAAAAAAUUGAAAAUUUUUUGGGCCGGAGCCCGGGCGAGUGCCCGGGGUCACCGGGCCAUAGAACCGCCCAUGUGACUAGUAUUCCCUUCCACAAUCGACACCAAGAGAACCAUCGUUACUAUGUCUUCGAUAAUGUGAGCCAUCACAGUCCAGGAUUGUUGCACUUUCAAAAGAUUGCAGGGGCUUCCGUACUCAAAUAGACUUAUCGCCCGAAUCCAAUGGAAGAUUGAAUGUGAAAAGUGAAUUUUGUAGGAGAUACUGCCCAACAACAAUCUUAUUCAAAUGUUGCACUAUGAACUCAAUUUGACUUGUAAGUUGAUACAUAAUAUGAUGCUCAAUAGAGAAAACAUACAGACCGAUAGAUAAUCUAAUCUUGUAGCUAAGUGUUAGAUACACCAAAUUUGAUGCCAAUUUAUCAUCAACCCAUAAAUCCCCAAAUAUAAAAUGUAUAACUCGUAAUAUACGAUGUUACAAAUGCUGGCAAAAAUGAAAAUGGACUCUAACCCAUGUUUGUCCACGACCCCAUUCUAGUCCAUAUAUCCAGCUCUAUUCACAGGUCAAGGGAAAUAGCUACGUGCAAAUUUAAUGGAGGGAAAUCACGUGGUUUCUACUUUCAAUUUACUCUCGUAUAAUACAUGCAUGAUGAACAAAUACACAUUCCACUGGUUUGUGAAUCCGUAUUAUCUUUGGUGAGGACCAUAUUCCAUGUCAAUUUCAUUGAUCAUCCAGCAAAACAGACAAAGAAAAAUGUGAAUCGUAAAAUGGUUCUUGCUUGGCACACUUCUCAAGAGGUCGAGUUUUGCUCUUCAACCUUGAGGAACUCGGUUUUUGACUUGGACACCGACAAAAAAAAUAUUUCGCGAGAUAGACACAAUUUUUACAACAACAGAUUCACAUUCAUUUAUCAUAUAUUCAGUUUCGUCAAGUAUGAAAAGAGAAACUACUAUAUUUUUUCGUAUCAAAAUUUAACCUCGCUGCCUAACUAUUAUACCAAUAAAUUUAAUAAUGGAAUUAAUAAUGGGAGAGCACCGUAGUCAUAACUAUUAGAGCUGUCAAAAUGGGCGGGGUUAAUGGACCGGGCCUAAAAGACUACUCCAAAAAUGCAUUCAGGCUUUUUUGGCCCAUACAAAAGUGGGGUCGGGGCUGGGCUGGCCCAUCAGGCUUUGUGCCGGCCCAUUAGCCCAUAUUUCAUUUGAUUAAUAUGGUCCUUAAAGUGACUAUCAAUGUUACGAACAUGCUUAAAAUUUAUGCUAAUAUAGUUCGGAUUAUAUAAUUUGAACUAUUUUUUCUAUAACUAAGGAUGUUUAUGGGUGUUCGAUUCUAUAAUCCGAAAAAAAAAAACAAGGAACACGCCCUACUUUUUGGGGUGUUCGAAUUAUAAAAUUUUAAUUGGUGAAAAACUCAUUUUUCCACUCCAAAACCUCAAUUCGAAUUAUAAAAUCUAAAAAUCACAUAGACGUUUUCAUAAUAAAAAAAUAAAAAAAAAGGGAGAGGAGGGAGGGGUCGCACGAGAAAUUGAUAGGAUAGAAAAAGUAAUGGUUAAAAAUAAUGAGUGGCUGAUUUUAUAGCCAUAUUUAUUCAAACAAGCCCAACUGAAAGUUUGGGCUUAACUUAGUUUUUUUUACUUAAACAAAUAUGGUUAUUACUUUUUCCACCCUACCCAUUUCUCGCUCGUACUGUAAAUUUUACAAAAAUGCUCAUGAGGAAUUCGGAUUUUAAAAUCCGAAAUAAUUUUUCACUAAUUCGGAUUUUAUAAUCUGAAAUGUGCUUAUAUAUUUUAGCAAUCAAAAUCUCUCUCAUUUCAGCAGUUUUGAAUUUUCCUUUUAAAAACAACCAAAAAUCAAAGUAAAAAAAAUGCUAAAAACCUAUCAAAUAACAUCGUAAAAUAUAAAAAUACCACAAAAUUCUAAAAAUCAAAUAAAAUAAAUGCAAUUUUUUCGAAUUUUUCUGAGAAUAUGAAAAAAAAAAAAAAAAAAAGGUCUAAACAAUGGAAUUUUGGAUUUUGAUGAGCCGAGUCCCAUAAUUCAACUAUAUCAAAUUUAAAUUUAAGGUUAAUGAAGUUAAAUUGACGAUUAAUGAUUUUUUUUUUUUACGACUAUCAUACUAUGGAUAGAUAGGAUGUUUCAUUCUAAAAAAAUAUGAGUAAUGCUAUUUAACGGGAGAGAUAACAUCCCGAAUUUAUCCUGACACAUCACUAACCAAUUAAAAGUCUUCCUGUGCGGCAAAAAAGGAGGUGGUGGGGUAUGAUUUUUGGAAUAUAUUAAGUGAAAAGUAAUUCAGGAACCUCUCGGGAUGACAUCCAUUAGAACGUUUAGGAAUUUCCAAAAAAUAUAUACGAAAUUUUUACCAUCUUUUAACAAUGAUUAAUUUUUAUCAAAAAAUAUGUUUGACUCAUAAAGGUAAGUUCUCUUUCUCUAUACUAAAUGUAAUUAAUCUCAUAUUUGAAGUGCAUUAAUCAUUUAAAAACUUGUCAGCAAGUUUUCAAAUUUUACCAUGAGUAUAAUAAAAGAACACAACCAAGUAAGUAAUGGGCAAAGUAUGAAGAUCUAAAUGAAUUAAAUUUGCUGCAAAACAGUGUUAGUAUUAUAUUUCAACAUCCAUUAAUUUGCAUAUAGAAGUAACCUUGAUGAGUAGGAGAUCAUGACAAAAGCUACUUUAGAGAGCUUUUCGAAACAACGGAAUUAAAAGCUGCUCAGAUUUUGCAUAUCAUAUCUCUGCUUUCAGUCCAAUCUACACUAGCUCUAUAGGGUAUACAAUUUUGGUGUUCAAAAUCUAAAUAGUUAACUACUCCACUCCAAGUCCACUGUAUGAACUUUGAAAAUUCAAAAACUCAUUGGCAUUGAAUUGAAUCAAACAAAAUUAACUCACUUUUCAAAUAGUGUUUCCCUCGUACAACUGGGGACCAAUACAAAUAAAACACGAUAAUCUUGAAUAAAAGUGGUCCACUCCAAUCCAUCGCGUAGUACUCAGAUCAGAAGAGUGUUUUGGAUCUAUUCUUGUUAUUUGAUUCAGAUAUAAGUUUGUGUAAUGUACACAAGUAAUAUUGCCCCACGUAUAAAUUUGUUUCAUAUCAUUUAAUCAAUAAGCGACAUUUUGUUUUAUGAUAAAUGAUAUUUCUACAAUAGUUUUUGAUAAUUUGUGUGAUAACUUUCUAUCAUAUUUACAUUACACUUCUACUUUCUCUUUAUUUUUUUGAUUUUUAUGUUAAUAUACAGAGAAAUGAUAUUUGUACAACCUUUUUUUGACAACUUUUACACAAUUUUCUCUCUCAUACUCACAUUAUAUUCUUAUUUUCUCUCUCUUCCUUUUUCUCUCUCCAUUGUUUUUGAUCAAUGAAAAGAGAGAAAAAUGAAAUUGUCAUAAAAGUUGUUCGCAAAUGGUUGUUCAAAUAUCAUUGCUGUAAUAUAUACUUUUCUUUUAAAAUGUAUGGUUGUCUUAUAAAUUGUUAUGUAAAUGUUCAAAUAACACACUUCUUAUCAUAUACUCAAUACUAAUAUAAAAUGUGAGUAUGAGAGAGAAAGUUGUGUAAAAUAAAAAGAGAAAGUAGAAGUGUAAUGUAAAUAUGAUAGAAAGUUAUCACACAAAUUAUCAAAAACUAUUGUAGAAAUAUCAUUUAUCAUAAAACAAAAUGUCGCUUAUUGAUUAAAUGAUAUGAAACAAAUUUAUACGUGGGGCAAUAUUACUUGUGUACAUUACACAAAUUUAUAUCUGAAUUAAAUAACAAGAAUAGAUCCAAAACUAUAGUAAUGGACAUUGUCAUUUAAAUGGAGUAUAAUCUAAUAAUAAAAUAGAUUGAUCCAGUAAAGUAUUUUUUUGACAAAUAAAAAAAACUAACUAAUAUAAAAUGUAAGAUUUACCUCAAUACUUUUUACACCAUAGAACUAGCAUCACAUAUAACCUUUGUCCACAACGAUGUUAUAAUUAUGACGUAUCAAAUAGAAAGAAACAACAUUGCUAUUUGUCAUGAAGUCAUUAUUUAUGAACAUCACCAAGUACGAAACCACAAAAUAAUUGGCCUACAUAACCUUAGAGACCGUAUAUUUGUUGAAAAGUCAAACCAAUUAGAUGAAAACGAGUUGAAAUCCUCUCUAUUUCCUACAAUAAAUGAUAAAGUCCAACAUUACUAUAUUUUUGGUGUAUAAAUAUUCAAUUAAUGUCACAUAUUAUAGAAAUGUGUGCAUUUAUAUCAUGUAUUUACCACAAAACUAUAGUAAUGGACAUUAUCAUUUAUCGUAGAAAAUGGAGAGGAUCUCAAUUCGAUGAGAACAUGUAGUUUCGUGAUAACCGAUAAGGUAUAUCAUGACAUUUAAAAGAAUUCAAAAUGAUUCCAUCAACAAAAAAAAAAAUAUCAAAAUGAAAUUUGGAUCAUCUGUCAGCGUGGUAAAAUGGAAAGAAUAGGAUGGAUUAAAAUAAUGUUGAGAAUCAUGGAAUCGAAGGGAGAAAACUGAUAGAUCUAAGCAAGACAAAGAACAUAUGUGUAUUUAUGAUAAUAAUACUCAAAAAAUCAUAGUUGAAUGGAUAAACUAAUAAAAGAAUGAGAAAUGAGUACAUAUAUGGUCUUAUUUAUAGACCUCAAUUAUACUAACUAAUGUGAUUAAUUAAACUAGCUUGAGUAACUAACUCUAACCAUCUUAACUAACAAAAAUUUAGGUAUCAAGAAUUAAUCUUGUUUUUUAAUAUACUAAGGAAAGACAUGUUGGUGAAUCAGUUUCUAUUCCAUAUUUUGUGGAUUUCUCCAUCAUUUGACGUUGAGUUUUUCUUCCCACUGCUUUAUAACCUCAAUCUAACAUUUGUCAACCACGGUAUUUAAUAGCUCGGUAAUAGAGUGCACAAUAUAACAGAUACAAAGGAUCUAAAACACAAUGAAUGUGGUCCAAUAUAGCAAAUAAUGGAUUGAAGGAAUGGAGCUAGCUGGCUACUUUGCUGGAUUGAAUUUGGCUCUACAUCAAAAUGCAUAUAAUAACAACAUGCAAUAGUAGAUAUUCGAUCGUACGUAAACAGAUAUGCCAAAACUUGUUAAAUCAACAUUUCACCGUAUCUUUCUCUUUUUCUAUCAAUAAUUCAACAUGAGAAGCCACGCUAGCUACCUUUGGUUGAACAUCAAGAAUCGUCCCCCACACCCUCAUACCCCUUAAUGAAAAGGACUAUCAUGCAUCUAAUGUUGCAGUUGAAAGAGAAAGAGAGAAAGAAGAGGGGGCUCCACUUUCUUUCCACAAAAAUUUCAUCACAGAUUUAUGUUGCUUUCUAAUUAUUACCAUUGCUUUGUAGCUAUAUGACAAAAUUGUCGACAAAUACGACAAAGAUGCUUAAACCAUACCUUGAUAUAUGUGCUUUUAUUAUUUUUAUAUUGUGUUUUGUUUUAUGUGUUGAACGUGAUUGGUAAAUUCUUACACAACUUGAUUGGUUUAUCCUUUACCAAACAAAAAACGUGAUUGGUUAAUCUAUCUAAUGUUGAGAUACUUUCUUCUUUGAGUGUUUUUCCAAAUCGAAUAUUUGCGGCAAGAGCCGCCAUAAAUGGAAAUUUACUAAGUCUUUAAACUCGUAAUAAAAAUAUGGUGAGGGGUAAAAACAAAAGUAAUCUACAUAGUGGAACACAAUUUGCAGAUAUCGAAUCUUUUAUGUAAGUGGGUAUUUUGCGUAUAGAAGAUCAAUAUGUUGAAAUAUGUUAGUUAUUUAUGUUUGUCUAAAUAUAAAAAUUUAUAUUAAGGAUACUUCAACUAGGGUUAAGUAUCAGACGGUUUUGAGCAAAAAAUUUCAAUCAAAUGAAAAAUGUGAACACUAAAUCUAAGUCUUAUUCUGAUCGUUUGUGUCUUCGGGUUUUUUCGGGUGAUUGGUAGAAUUGUGGGUUGUUGCGGGUUAGAGCUUGAAGCUUGUUACAUCCAAAAUUUCAAUAAUCUAGACAUUUUCUCAUUCUAAAACAAUGUAACCUCGUAAAAUUAUACAUAGCACUAAUGAGUUGAAGAAAUAAAUUAACAAUAGAUUUAAUUAAAAAAACUCAACAAGUGAUAUACGUCAUGUAACUAGUUAAUAAAACAUAACAUUGAUACACUUCUAAAAAAACUCCACAAUACUUUUUUUAUUGCUAAAUUGAUAUAUAGAUAAACGAGGAAAGGGGUAUUCCAACUCAAUACACAAAAGACCAGUUGUGACGAAGAAAGUCUCAACAAGAUGCAAAACAAAAGUCCGUAGACAAAAAACAAGAUGAAAGAAACAAGAAAAAUACACCAAAGCAAAAUAACAUAAGAGGAACAAGAGCAAUAAGUAUAACAAAGAGAAGCAACACCCCAAUGAAAACAGCAGCCAAAAUACGUGGUUUUAGAUUAUUUUUUGAAUUCAAAUCACCUACGUGUAUCUUUUACCUCUUUUAAUUUAAGGUUUAAAUGUGUCAUUGGUCCCUGCAUUUUCAUCAAAUUUUGACAUUGGUCCCUGCACUUUUUUUUGUUUGGCAUUGGUCCCUGCACUUUGUAAAAAUAUUGGUAUUGGUCCCUCUGCUAACUUUCUCUUAAAAAAAAAACACAAAACUAACGGAGUGCCACGUGGCCCAAUCAUUUCACGCCACGUGGCAUCAAUAUCAAUAUUUUUACAAAGUGCAGGGAUCAAUACCAAUAGUUUUGUGUUUUUUUUUAACAGAAGGUUAACAGAGGGAUCAAUACCAAUAUUUUUACAAAGUGCAGGGACCCAAUUUCCCAACAAAAAAAAGUGUAGGGACCAAAUGCCAAAAUCUGAUGAAAGUGCAGGGACUAAAGACAUAUUUAAGCCUUAAUUUAAAUAGGUGAUCUUUAAAUAAAUUAAGUCCCUUUUUAAUGUCUUUUCUAGGAUUUCUUCAUCGUAGUGCGGUGUUGUUAUUUUCUUUGUCUUAUGUGGGUCUUUGUUUUUUUUUUUUUAUCUUGCUGCGGUGUUCAUUUUGUUCUGACGAACCAACUUCAAUCAAUUACUAAUUUAACUAAUUACUUGGUCAUCCAACGUUGCAUAUCCAAAAACAUGAAAAUUUCAAUCAAUUUGAAUUUAUCACGUACUUGUAAGUAUUUUGUCAUUCUAUUCUAUUAAUUUGGAUGUUGUCGGUUUCUUUGCAUAUUCACUGUUCUUCCUUUUUAGCAAUAUUAAAUUUGUGUUUGUGUUGUAUCCGAUAUACUAUACCAAUUUGAAUCAAUGAAUAUAUUUUUCUAGUAAAAAAAAAUGUCUAUGCUAAACAAAACCUUAAUUAAAAAACUCUAUUUUGUUUUGUUCUUUCAAGUUUUUGGUAUCUUAAAUUGUGUUGUAAUAAAUUGCAAGCCUGACAUGGAAAGGAAACUCUUUUUUUUUUUUUUUUUGAAAUAAUGGAAAGGAAAAUCUGUAAAGCAAUUCCUUCCAAAUUAAUGCUUGGCUCGUAGCCUCCGAUUGUUAAGAGCCACUAAAUAUGGAAACAUAUUUUUACCAAAUUAAAAGGAAUCAGGGUGAUAUAUAUACUCUCUAAUCUUUUUUUCUUUUUUGAGCAUAUACUCUCUAAUCUAUAGCUUUUUUAUUUAUAUAAACGUGUAUGAUUGUAAGCAUUUAUAUAAACUUGUAUGAUUGUAAGAAAUGUUUUCAACUUACAAUAAAUUUUUGGUUUAAAUUCAGCUAUGAGAAUACAAUACUAUUAAAUAUAUUGAGAGUUUUGUCACUUACUGCGGAGACAUUAAUCUCUACAAUUACGUGCGGAAAAUAUCCAAUUUACUCCCAAAAGAAAUGAUGCAAGCCAACUUAGGUUAGCCUACUUGUUAGUGCUCUUUGAGACGGUCUUUGCUAGGUCUUCUUGUACUGUUCAUAAACAUUGGCGCUAUAGCUAGUGCUCUAUAUAGUUUGCAACCUAUCACUGUUACCCUCAAGUUGGCAACCAAUAAAUGAGCACCCUUUUGUGGUCCACACCCUCUUUUUCCAUUCUAUAUAUUUACCCUUCCUUAUGUUUUUUCUAUUUCUAUACCAAGGUUGUUGUGGUCUUCCCCUUGACUUCACCAUAGCCUUCUCCUAAAUCAUUAAUAAUCUCUUAUAUUUCAUUCUUUACCUUAACUUAUGGAUGGAAGUUGGGGUGAAGGAAAGAGAAUCUAUGAGUACAGAGAAGAAAAUGAGUAUGAAGUAGAAGUAGAAAUAGAAGAAGAGGAAGAUGUGAGUUAUGGAGAUGAUGAGAAAAGGAAAAGGGUGGUGACUGAUCAUCUUUACAACAAGAAAGGGUCAAAAGCUGGAGGAUCAGUGACACCUUCUUGCCAAGUUGAUAACUGUAAUGCUGAUCUAAGUGCUGCUAAGCAGUACCAUAAGCGCCAUAAGGUUUGUGAAAACCAUUCUAAGGCUCAUUCCGUACUCAUUUCAGAGCUUCAACAAAGGUUUUGCCAGCAAUGUAGCAGGUUGACAAACCCUAAUUUCACCUCUUUUUUUCCUUGAAUAUCUUAAUAUUAGUAUUCGCAUGUCCUUAUAUUGAACCUCAAUAUUUGAUGUGAAAUGGCUGAGGGAAGAUUAAGAUCAGUUUUGAUUUGAUUUGUACGUCAUUUUCAAUUUUUUAUAGAUAAAUACCUUGCUCUUUCUAAUAACUAAGCCCUAGCAAGAGACAACUCAUGGGAUGAUCUUGAUUGAAGUGUUUUUUUUCUUCUAUCAACUAACGACCUCUAAAAGAUGUUCAAAAGUGAACACUUACCAUUUCUAGUAAAUAUUAAUAUUACAUCUUUUUCUCUUUGUGCAUUAUUAUAAAAUGGGUCAUGCUAACAAUUGUUAAGGAUUUAAAAAAGAAAACAAUUGCUAAAUUUUAUGUAGAAAAAAUUGUUUUUUAAUAUUCCAGGUUGAUUACAAUUUUGAAGGUAAAUUUUUUACUUUAAGUUUCUUAACAAAUGUCAUAAGGGUUAGGGCACUUAUUAUCAUUUCCCUUGUAAAAAUCUACCAUUUUACUAAAAAUAGCAAGGGUCUACCUUUGUCUCCUUUUUUAGAAGUCCAUAUUAGACAAGUUUUUUUUAAUAUGGACUUAAAAAAAUGUUCAAAUGUGGACCAUUACCUCUUUUAGUAAAAUAUGGUGAAUUUUGUAAAAAUAAAAUUAAGAGUAAAAUAUGGUGAAUUUUGUAAAAUAAAAUAAAGGGAGUUCAUAUUAGAUGCACUUUUUUUGGAUAGGAAAAUGUCUGUAAGUUACUGGUUUAAGUGUUUUUUUUACUCAUUUGAUUUGAAGUGUGUAUCAGAAAAUGAGAGAUGUGUCUAAAUUUGUACAUUGUUUACAAUUUUUGUUUUUUUUCACUUUUUAAUUUUCACUCCUACAAAGGAUAUAGUUAGCUAGCUAUACAGUGCUAAACUUUUCUACUAAUAGUGAAUAAUUAUAUUGUUUUAGUUCUUGAAAGAUUUAGCAACUUGCCCAAUUGGAAAAAUUUGUUGGUACAGGAUUCUUGACACUAUAUUCCCUGAAUAUGUAUUGAUGUUCAUUGUUCAUCGAUUUAUACAACUCACAAUCACAGGGUACUUAAUUAUUCUAAAAAACUGAUAAAUUUAAUCCUUUUAAUUACCCCAACAUGCUAAGAUAGGGACAUACUCAUAUGUGCCCUCAACUUCAAGAUCAUAUAUAUAGCAUAGAGUUACAGUGAUUGGUAUUUAUUCAUACGCCAGCAUUUCCACUUUAGUCAUCACUUAAUUUUGGAGUCAUGUUUUUAAUCCCCACGAAGUUGACAACACAAAAGGUGUUAUCGGUUCCAUUUUUUAAAGGAUACUUCAUGGAGGCAAGACAGGGAAAAAAAAAAUAGGGCAACAUAUUACUACAAAAUUUUCAUUGAAAAAAGUUAAAAAAUUUGAGAAAAAAAUAUAUAAAAUCUAUCUAAAAAAAGGUCCACAUAGUAAAUUUUGUUUGCUAGCAUAUUGUCAUAAUUUUUAAUUUUGUUUUUGUUAUUAAGACAAAAAAAAGUAAAAAAAUACUAUGUUGAAAUGUUAAUAUAUAACUUCUUUUUGAAGGAGAGAUGUUAAUAUGUUAUAGCGAGUAAAAUUCAAGGGGUCCAUUAGUAGACAUUUUUAAGUGCAUAUUAGAGGCGUCCCCUAAUCUGUUCCAUAUCAAAACCUAACUCUCUAAAAUUUUGAAGCCAUAAUUGGUGAAUCUAUGAUCAUCAUUAACUUUACAUCUAAUAAUUUCAAUUUUUUUCUUCAGGUGAAAGGUAGAUUUAGAUUUAAACGUUGGAUAAACCAAAUCAGUUUUCACCUGUGUUCUUGUGCAUACUAAAUUAACCAAAACACAUAUGCAAUGUUCUUCAUAUAUAGGAGCAAUAGUCAAGAGUACAUUCCCAUGAUUUACAACUAAUUAAUUAACUUAUAGCUUUGGAAUAUGGUUUUUCUAUAGGUUUCAUGAGGUAUCAGAAUUUGAUGACUUAAAAAGGAGUUGUAGAAGGCGUUUAGCUGGACAUAACGAGAGGCGUCGCAAAAGUGCAUCCGAAUAUCACUGAGAAGGAAUUCAUUGAUGAUGAUCAAACAUAUUGAGCAGCAUAUAUAGUUGAAAUAAAGACACCAUCCUUGAGUUCUUCAUAUUCAAAUUGAUGUUAUUUGUGGAAGCUCUCUCUCUUCUGUCAUCAAACUUUAUCUCCCUCUUUAUGCUAAGUUUGCUGCUCCAUUAGAUCGAGUAUAAUUUUAGCUGAAAACUAAAAAUAACUUGCUUGACUUCAUGCCUUUGCAAUUGUAUUGUAUGUGUUUCUUUCAUGUCCUCAUACCAUUAAUUUAUUAUCAUGGCUUUCUCACCAAUAAUAUAUUUGAGGGAUAUAUGCUUUGAAGAGUAGUGAUCAAAUGUCCCAAAAUUAGUACUAACUUUUUUGUCCAUGAAAGAUGUCACAUUUCAAAUUAGCAUGUUGCGUCACCAUCAAUUCAUUUUUCUUCAUUUUUUUUUUUAUUUUUUUUUUAUAGACGAAGCAUCAAACCCCACUAUAAACUCAUACACAUAAAGUAAAAGACGUCAAAUUCAAACUCAGGACGACACAAAAGAUAUUCAACAUAACAAUGUCAAUAUUACUUAUUAUGUUAAUAUAUUAAAAGAAAAUGAGUCGAACAUAAUUUUAAACGGUAGUUGCAUCGACUACAUUUUUUAGUAAUAUAUAUCAAGGAACAUACUAUAAAAUUAGCAACGAAGCUUUAGGAACGGAGGAAAACAUUAAACUCCUCAUUAUAAUUAGCAAUGAAAAAUUAGUGAUCGAUUUAAUUUUUUUAUUUCUCUAAAUUUAGUCCCUAAUUUUAUUUUAUUUUUCUAUUAGUGAUGCAACCGUAACUAUAACUUCAAUUUUGAACCAGAUAUAUAUUGAUCUCUCCUUGUUUUACCUUCACUGUAUCAAAAAAGGGGAAAAUUAUAAUGUGGCCUACAUUGAUCACUUGGGAAAUAAUUCUCAUAGCAAGUUUUUGGUGGUAUCUUUCAUAUCCAUGGCUGAAGUUCUGAAUUAUACUCUCAUUUUCACACUAGGGACCACGUUUCCAUUCUGGCACCUUCCAUUCUAGUUUAAUCCAAUACUGUCUUGCUCACACACUUGUUCUUUAAGUUUGAGUAUCCACCAUAAGUAAAAAGCAUAAUUGGAGGAAUAAAUUAAGCUCGUGGGUGAGUGAUGCAUAUAAAACAAGAUUGCCAAUGUCACCAGAAACAUCUGUUAAUUAUUCCAUGUUAACUUUUUUUUCAUCUCAAUAUCCCAUGUUUGGGUAAAGCUCGUUUUCAAGAGUUAGAGAAUCAAUUAGGACGGUUUUUUUUUUUACUAUGGGGCAGGUGGCCUUCAAGGCCGCUUCAAGCAAAGUGGUCAAAUAUGAGAAAACAUGUUUUGACAAUCAAUAUGCUUUUAUACAAUUUGCGUUUGACAUUUUUGACUUCAUAGUAUCUGAGUUUGUUAACCUUCUAUAAAAAGUUCAAAGGAUCACGCAUAACAAUGUUGAGUCACCUAGAUCUAUGAUUUUGGAAUUAAAAGGAUUGAUUUUGUCAUUCAAAAAGGAUUAGCAGCAGCUCAACCCAAAAUUUGAAUCUUACCAAUUAUGAGUUUGUAUGUUGUUUAGCGCCAACACCUUUAAUCACAUGAAAUUAUAUUCAUUUUUUUUAUCAUGUAUAUGUUGAUGCUUCAUAGUUUGUACGAGACUAUUUAAAAAUACAAAUUAUUAAAAAAAUCAAAUCAUCACCAAGGUAGAAAUACUUCUAACAUGCAUUAUUUUUAUCAAUUCUUCCCUAAACAAUGAUUGAUGACUCAUUAGCAACCAAAAAAAAAUAUUGAUAACUCAAGUGUUUUUGCCAUUUCACUAUGAACAUGAGGGUAGGCUCCAGUCUGAAAAAACGUGUCACGGUAAAAAUAGAACAUAUAUAAAUGUCGUUGAGGCCGACAUAAGGUGGAAAAUGAAAAUGCAAUGUCAUUGAGCCAGAUAUAAUAUAUAGCCGAAAUUCAAGUAACUUUCUUUCUCCAUCACACAUGCAUUAUAGUAGACUGACUCAGUCCUUACCUGAGUUAAAAGUAUAUAUAUAUAUAUAUAUGCAGAGGUCAUAAAAGUGGGGUUUUCAGAAUUAGCAGUAGUACUUCCAAUAUACAUUGAAUUACUGGUUAUGGAGUUCAUCUUAUGACAAUUGCUAAUGGUUAUGAUUUAUGACAUUUAUUUUAUAGCAAUUGUUUGGGUGGAGAAGUGUCUAACAUAUACGGUCUACAAUUGAUCGAUAUUUGAAAACCAUUUAAAAUUUGGACAAAGAUUGAUGUCACCAUUUUUAAGUAGAAAUUUAGGGUUUGUUCUAAAAAGUAGAAAUUUAGGGUCUUCCAUUGGCUCAAACGCUGACAUGACCAAUGUUGAUUCUAGUACAAACACGAGAAAACGACCAUAAGUUGAAUUUUUGAUAAACUUUUCUUGCUUUUUGAUAAACUAUUAUCUCAAUCGCAAAGACGAGUAAUUGUACUACGAGCUACUACUUAUGAGUGACAUCAAUUGUUGUUGGAAUUUUAAAUGAUUUUCAAACAUUAAUCCACCGUAAAUCAUGAGACACUUCUCUACCCUAGGUGUCGCAUAUUUUGUACAAACUACCUAAAGUUAUUUUACGUGGAUAAGGCUAGACUUUAGAAAAAGUUCAUUCUGUGCUUGUGGGGAUAUUUUUUUCCUUAUAAAAGGAUAACAGCCCCACCUUAAAAAAGAAAAAAGGUUUUGUCAUAUCUUAACAGCAUCCUUCUCUUUAUUCAGUUUUAAUCUAGUUCGAAACAUUGGAAUGAUGUAACCAUGCUUGAGUUUUGGUGCUGUAUUAUCUCCAACAAGAAUUUUCAGGAUACUAUGCAUGCAUAUAUAUAUAUAUAUGAAAUACUACAGCAAACACCAUUUGAUGAGUACUGAUCAUGAUAAAAUUCAUCACAUCGCAGUUGAAAGAAAUUAGACACCAACCUCAGCCAAGCUUAAUGCCUAAGAUGAAGUAACAUAUAAUAUAAAAUAAUGCAAAAAUAAAUUAUUUCAAUUAUACAUAUUAGUUAUUUAUUUGAAUGUAAUCUAAAAAUGCAAUCAAGUCAGAUAUACAAAAAUUGUGUAAAAUCGGUUGAGUUUUAGCAAGGUACAGACAAUCAUUUAGAGAUUUACAAAAAUUUAUUUCCUGGAUUUUCUUUUCACUAUUAAUAAUAAUCCAGAACAGAAUAUUCAAGUCCAAGAAAUAUAGAUCACAAGGAAAUGCAUAAGUCAUUGUAUUCUGGCCAUGCUUUCUCAUCCAACAGAAGUAAAUUCAAUGAUAUUCAUCAGACAUCAUAACUUACUAGGAAUAACAUCUUUAGAAAGCACUCCACUCUUUCCAAUAUGGGAAGGGUCAUUGAAAAUACCCUUUCUUUCCUUAAUAAACUUAGCAAACUGAGAACCCUUCUCUUCUUUGCUUUUAUAGUUUAAAGGAGAUGGCGGUUGAUCAGGCAUUGGAUUGAGCUUGGGAGAUGAUGGCCGCAUCAAUGCCCAAACAGAUGAAAUGUAUUCGUUUGGUUCGUCUAGAAUCUGCAAAAGUGAUAAAUCCUGCAUAUCUGCGGUAGGAGAGGAGAACCAUAUCAUAACAUGUCAAUCUACCAUGUGGGAACAAAGUAAGCAAAAAAAUAAAUUGUAUCUGAAAUGAUAUUGUGACACAAAUUUGACGAUAAAAAUCAACGGCAAUUUGGCGGGUUAACACAGUUCAAAUAUGUAGUUAAUUAUGUUCAGUAUAUGGUUAAUGAAAAUUGUGAUUAGUGACAUUCAAGAUUGGGAUUAAUUGUGUUCUGUAAGUGGCUAAUGAGUUGUAACAUCGUGCAGUAUUCAUUAACCAUCUAGAAAAUGUAACUAACGCAUGUAUUUGAACACUGACCAGUGACCAUCAAAACUGAGAACUAAUUUUUCUAAAAAAAUUCAGCUCAAAUAGGCCACUAAUAGUUUUCACUCACAGUGUUGAGUUCUUUUUUAUACUAGGUAGGAAAUGAGAGGAAAGGUGGGAACUGAACAUGCUUUGAAAGUAUACCUUUUGCGAAGUUGAAGAUAGGUGCCAAAGCAGCAGAUGGAAUGCUAAAAUUAAGAUGAGGUAUAAUCGAUCCACCGCCAUGCCUUGCAUUGCUGUGUCAAAAACAUUAUCUCAUUAAAUAUGGAAGCUUAGUCCACAAAGAUUUAGAGGAACAAUCACUAAAGAAAAUGAAAAUCACAGGAGCUUAUAUUAUGCAGAAAAACAAUUGGACCAAGCUGACCAUCGAGUAAGUAAGCACGACAAAAUACAGACUUGUGCAGCAGAGACAAUAAAUCAAAGACAGAAUUACAUCCAAAAUCAUCUAUGUUUUCUACAAAAUCGUCUACCUCAUAUCUUGCACUUCAGUGCAUGAUGGACAUAAAUUUUUCUUGAUGCAGAAAUAGGAUAAAAUGCUAACAUUAUAUUUAAAGUUGCUGGUAUUACCUUGUAACCAGACCAAUCAUGUGACCAUCUGAAUUGAUAACAGCACCACCACUAGCCCCAGGAUGAACAGCAGCUGUUGUUUCAAGCAUUGCUGGGAAAUUGCCUUGGGUAUGCAUGUGCUCGGGUUGAAUGGACUGAUAAGAUUGAGGAGUCUUUGCUUCAACAACCUUCGCUACCACACCAGAGCAAACAGAUGGGAGGAAUCCUUUUGAAAAUUGAUGACAUCCAACGUUUAAACAAAGGAAAUAAAAAGAAAAGUCACAGUGAUUAAAUCAUUUCUAGAUGAAAUUGGGUAUAAACCAUUACAUGUCUCACCAAUCACCGCAUCAAUUAAUUAUUUUCAUAAAUAAUAACAUAUAUAUAUAAACAAAUGUCAUAACCACAAAAUUCAAGAGUAGCAUGGAAUAUAUCUUUUUGAACAAAUAUCACUUCCAUUGAUAAAUAUGCCCCUUGAAAGUUUCGAACACAAUAGCUCAUUUCACUUUGUUUUUUAUGUGAGCAUGAUGUAUAUAACAACGGAAUAGAAAAGGCAUAAGCCUAAAGUUUACAAUAUCUAAGCAUUUUUGUCCAUUUUUCGUGCAUUGGGUUGAUCUUAAUGUUCUAUUAGACCUUAUCAUGUCAAAACUAAAGCUAUUAAGUGCUGACUCUAGAAUCAGAAUGGUUUUAUAUCUCUAACAACGUUAAAGUUAAACGGCAUGUGAGGAUGUAAAGCUUUCUCUCCAUUAUGAAAAUUAACUGAAUGUUUUAUUCUGCGAAUAGGUUUUCUUCAUGGUUGUUUGAACCUUUGUUUGACAUAUCUGCUCCAUGAUGUGAAAGAAAGAACCAGUAGCGUUAGAAGAGUAUAAAAUUUGAUUAGUCAUGUCAAUUCCUAAACAAUUCUGAAAAAACUAUAAUCAUGUCAAUCAAAGGUGGACAAAUUAGUCAUUCACACAACACUUCCUUAUUACUGAAGAAUCAACUUAGUUAUAUACAUCAUGUCUAUAAAUAUCAUUGGAAUGCGAAACUGAAACUCCAAAAAUGAAGGAAAUCAAAUAAAACAUGACGAUUAGAGAAAUAGGAUGUUGGAACUUAAAAUUCAUUCAUGGCAUCAGACCUAGAAAAAAAAGGAAUUAAUUAGGUUACAUACCACACUUAGGGCCAAAUAAUCCAUGGCCAAUAACAUAUGCCUUUGAUCCUGUGGAUGGCCUGGAAAAAUUUGUUAGAAUAGGCAAAAGAUUAUCUGGAACUGGUUCAAGCUGCAGUAAUGCAACAUCCCACGGUCCUUUACAAACAUACACUACUUUAGCAUCGCACCAAACCCAAGGCUUGAUAUGAUCAAGGCGUAUACGUAUAUUUCUAUGGCUGUCAUAAGGUUUGUUCAAUUUAUAUCUCCCCUGCUCACCAGCCACAAAAGGGUAAAGAUUUGUCAUCUUUGAAGGUAGUGUUUGCCUAGUUUGAAUGCUUUCACCUCUAUUAUCAAGAGAUGUAGUUCCCUCCAACAUGGAAGGAAAUUUUUCUGGGUUGGUUCCAUUUCCAUAUCCUCUGCCAGUUAUAUGAGUUUUCCCAAAUCUCCACGGUUCUAACAGAUGAGCAUUCGUAAGUAUGAGACCUUGACUGUUUAACAAAAUCCCAGAUGCCCAUACUCCAUCACCAAUAGUAACAAGACAAACAGAAGCCAUUGCCUUCUCAAUUGGUAACGGUGAAGAGUUACCAAAAUUUAAAUGCUCGUGAUUAUUACUAGAGAGUACAUAAGCUUCUGAUUUAUUGUAGUCAAUAAAAGGUCCCUUUCCUGGACCACAAGAGUUUCCCUCCUGAUAACAUGACCCUUCUACUGUAUUCUGAGGCCACUUCCGCAGCAAGCCACUAGCAGCAUUCACAAUGGCUUCCCAUGGAAUCACCAGCUGUUACCAAAGACUACAGUCUUGCAUGAUGAGUUAAAUUUGAGAAGGUUUAUAUAAUGUAAACAUAGGCCCUGUUUGGAGUAACAGUUCAAUUAAGUGUUUAUAGCAUAGGUGCUUAUGUAUAUGCUAUUUAUUUGACAACAUAAAUAUUUUCAUAUAAGCUAUCCUAGGGAGUUUAUGGAAAUAAGCUGAAAACAGGUUAUGGACACGUCAAUCGUCAUAAGUUGUUUCCAUAUGCUCUCUCAAACAGUCUUAUAAGUGCUUAUAUCAGUGGAUAAGCUCAAAUAAGUGAAUCCAAACAGGGCCCAAGAGGAGAACACAUUCAAGGAACUACCUGAAUUUCCGCUCCACUUGUCUGCUGCCUCAGUGGUCUGAUCAGGACACCAGUAAGACAUGCAUGCUCACUGAAAACUGGACUGCCUUCCAUUCCUGGCAGAUAAAGUGUCAAAAUAGAGCCAAUCAAUUACAUGAAUGACCAACAAAUUAUGCAACAGAGAAACGGUUCGCACCAGGAAGACUGCGUAUGUCAGCCAUCAUCAGCAAUGAUCCAUCAGAUGAAUUAGGAGGAUAACAAUUUGCAAUGCAUCCAACUGAUAAACUGAUUCAAGCAAGCAACCAAAUCAAAGGACUGAAUGAUACAAAAGUUUCAAGCAUCGAUAUCCACUUCUUCAUCACAGCAUUAUAUAUUAGAUAAAAUAGAAGUCUGUACAACUCAGCUCAAAACAUAGGUGAUGCCAACAGCUCACCGAAAAAGUUGACAAAUAAUGACAAAGAGCAUGUUACAUCAAGGUGAUUAUGAAAAUUUACCAUGGGAAGUUACCAUUUUGUGAGUAACAACCAGAUUAGGUUAUUCUAACUAUUUUUUUCUUCUUUUAGCCAAACUAGAAAAUAAUACCUGUUAAAGAAAUGUGUAGGUGAGAGGAUUCCAAAAGGAGAUCCAACUGCCAGAAGAAAAUCACCCCUUUUAUUCGUGGAAGAUUUAUCAUAGUUCAGCGAGUCCUGUGUUACAAGCAUCGACUGUUACUAUAAUGAGUCUAGACAGUAGACUAUCAAAGAAAGACAAGUAGAAAAAAAAAUUACAUGUGCAUAUGUUAUAAUUGUUUGCAAACUUUGCAUAAGGAAUCCGAAUGGAAGAAAUAUUAAUACCUUGAAAGAUGAAGAAAUACUAAGAAUGGCCAUUCUAGUCAGUGAUUUGCACAUAAGACUUGCACUGCCAGAUUCUCCCAAUGCCAACCUCCGCUACAUUUCAAAGAAGAUUUAUCAUUCUCCAUCCAAAAUAAUGAGUCGCUUUUAUGCAUUUCUUAAAAAUCGUGGUUGGGUCAUACACAACCCCGCAAAACUUUCAUUUGGAAGAAUGGCGCCGGCAUGAUCAAACUAUAGACUGCUUGGUAAUGUAGGAUAUGAUACCAUGUUGGCAAAGACAAGGACAUAUAUAUAUAUAUAUAUAGCGAGAGAGAGAGAGAGAGAGAAGAAUGAGAAGAGAAGCGAUAUUUAAAUGAUUGGGGAAAACCUUCACACUCCAAGAAUUAGCCCACACCCCUAAAGAUCUUCGAUAGAUCACACAUGAGCAGUUGAGCACACCGCAAAGAACGCAAAGGACCACAGAACAUUUGAUGGUUCGACAGCUCUGGCCUACUUUCAGAGAAACGCCUCAAUACAAUGUACUUAUUCAUUAUAUCAACUAAGAUUACAUGAUUGUAACUCACUCAUUAUAUUGAAAGCGGCCGUAAUAUUGCUGAUGCGGUAAACACCGCAACCAACCGCAUCAGACACAAUUGUGGUGUGAUCUUCGAUCACGUGUAUGGUCGCAUUGUAACCGCAUCAGACAAUUUUGACGAAGUUCGUUCAAAUUUUCUCGCCAAAAAUUAAAAUUUCGGAACCCAAAAUUCCAAUAUGCUUUAGAUAUAAUGAAAAGGCAUACCUUUAACAAUCUCUCAAUCAGUAUUUAUGGAGCAAACGGAGACUCUGCUAUGGUUGAUAAAUAGUGUAGUAGUAUGGUGGUGUCACUUUAUAUAGUUUGUGAAAAUUUAAAAUCAUUUCACGCUGCAACAAUGCAUUGUGCGUCGCAGCAGCCACAAAGACCGCAAUCACAACGGCCGCAACCGCAAUUUAAAACCAUGCUCGAGAGUUAAAAGGAAUAAUAAACGCACUCAUCUCACUACAAGUGAUCACCCACUCAUUUGGGGAUGCUUCAACUCUUCACAAGUCCUCAUAUUUAUUGAAGAUGACAUUACUUUCAUUCAUGUGAAUAUUUCACUAAUAUUUUUCAUUCAUUUCUUUUGUAGUUAACUUUGGAGUUAUCAAGAGAUGUUGAAUCUAUUGUUGAGAAGUAAUUUUUUUGACUACUUUAUCUUUUAUCAAUGAAGUAUAUGUUUUUGUGACUUUUAACUAAUGUGGUUAUUUGUUAUUAUUGGUCAAUGUUGUGUAAUGGAACUAAAGUAGACCAAUAGUAUGUCGUUGGUUGACAUUUUGAUUUGUAACAAGAUACUCAUUUAAAUUAUCUAUACAUUACAUUAUAUAGCAUUUUGCAUUAUGUUUGAGAGUCAACAUUUGCAAUAUUACAAAAACAACAACUCAUUUUGCCUGUGCGUUGCACGGUUCUAAGACUAGUCCUGGACAUUCAUUAUUCCAUUCCACCUAUCCAAGUAUCAAGUUACAUUCACCCGCCUGUUAGACACUAGACACUAACAUUUCAAUACAAGUUUCUAACAAAGGUGAAUUUAGAAUUUGGAUGUGAUACAGAAACUACAUGAUAAGUUUAACUUAAUAUUCAUCCUUACAAAACCGGCUUGUAAGGUGAGAGGAGUGUCUCCUCCUUAUAAACUCUUCUCAAGAGUACUAUCUAUCCGAUGUGGGACUAAAUCCACCCCCUCAAAGCCAACAUAAUGAAGGUGUUGGAGGCUGCAAUUAAGGCUAACUGAAGGUCGCAAUUUAGGCGACUAGGGGCGGACCACAAUUAAGGUGAAAUUUCCAACACACCCCCUAACACUUCAGCCCGGCCCAACGGGCCUGAAGCGUGGACGAUGUGGGAAGCCCAACGAUAGAUCUAGGAUAGGCUCUGAUACCAUGUUGUAAUUUGGGGCCUAACUCAUCCUUACAAAACCGGCUUGUAAGGUGAGGAGUGCCUCCUCUUUAUAAACUCUUCUCAAGAAUAUUAUCUAUCCGAUGUGGGACUAAAUCCACCCCCUCAAAGCCAACACAAUGAAGGUGUUGGAGGCUGCAAUUAAGGCUAAUGAAGGUCGCAAUUUAGGCGAUUAGGGGUGGACCGCGAUUAAGGUGGAAUUUCCAACACACCCCUCACGCUUCGGCCCGGCCCAACGGGCCUGAAGCGUGGACGAUGCGGGAAGCCCAACGAUAGAUCUAGGAUAGGCUCUGAUGCCAUGUUGUAAUUUGGGGCCUAACUCAUCCUUACAAAACUGGCUUGUAAUUAAGGAUGCAAUUAAGGCUAACCGAAGGUCGCAAUGUAGGCGACUAGGGGCGGAUCGCAAUUAAAGCGGAAUUUCCAACACACACCCUCACGCUUCAGCCCGGCCCAAUGGGCCUGAAGCGUGGACAAUGCAGGAAGCCCAACGAUAGAUCUAGGAUAGGCUCUGAUACCAUGUUGUAAUUUGGGGCCUAACUCAUCCUUACAAAACCGGCUUGUAAUUUGAGGAGUGCCUCCUCUUUAUAAACUCUUCUCAAGAGUACUAUCUAUCCGAUGUGGGACUAAAUCCACCCCCUCAGAGCCAACACAAUGAAGGUGUUAGAGGCUGCAAUUAAGGCUAACCGAAGGAUGCAAUUUAGGCGACUAGGGGCGGACCGCAAUUAAGGCGGAAUUUCCAACAAAAGUAAUAUUAAAUUCAUUAAGCACUUCAUAUGAAGGAGAAAAAUAAAGAGAAAUAAGUGCAAGUGAGCAAGAACUGCAACAAGGGCCCAAGCUGUGCUUGAGUUCAUAAGUACAUGCCUUACACCUUUCCCAAUUUCAUCUUUUGAAAAAUAUAUUGAAACUAUUUCACUAAACCAAAAAGCUAAAUUUAUGGAAGGAUUGUCAUCGAUAUCAUAGCCUAACCAACAAACAAAACUUAGCGGGAGUUUAAAUUCAGUGUUUUCUUCCUGAAGCAAUAUUGUACACAUGCUAUAAUCUAGUUUCAGAGUUCAACUGCUUCAUUUAGGCUUGGCCAAACAUAAUAUAAAGUGACACAUAAGUCAUACCAUCACAUUUAUAAAUGCACUUUUCUGACAGCAUUGGUAUCAUGCUUCCGGUGUUUUUAUUGAACAGGGAUAUCUCUCAUCCGUUUAUAAAUUUAUAAAGUAAACUAGUUCAUGGCUAAAAAAGAAAGCGCACUAAUGAAGAAGAAAUAGGGAUAACCUGAGUUUGAAAGUUAUCUUUAGAGGAUUGAGAAUCGUUAUUGUGAGAUGCCAAAGACCAACCAACAUCCCAUUCAUGCUCUGACAAGCCUAGAGAUGCUUCAACGAGUGACUGGACACAAAGGGCUGAAGCAGGAAUAUCAACCUGAAAAUAGUAAAUAAUCAAAUUUUAGUUCAGAUGUAAAUAAUAUGAGCCAUAAAAUCCCUGUCUUAAAACAUGAGCUAAUGGAAUGAAAAUGCAUUCUUAUCUUUCUAAGAAAAUGAAAUCCCACACACUUCCGAAAUCAUGAACAAUAUCCGUAUACAAAUCCAUAAACUAUUAAAUGACAACAAACUAAGCUAUGCAUUUACCUAAAUGAGUCUCACCAACUAAACACAUACCAUUCAAAGGGAUGAGAUUUUAUAAAACUGAAUAAGUCAUGAUUAAAACUAUAAACUAUCAGGUGCACCACGUUAUUAAUUUGCAACAAAACCACAUAGUAAGGAAGAACAUAAAGAGAUUCAAAAUGCCUACUAAUGACAAAAGUUGCCCCUCAAGCCAACAAGGAGUUCCUUGAUCAGAUUCUUCGUUGGUUUUCUCAGUCAUAAUAUCAAUCCGAACACCAGAAAUCAAAUCAGGCCUACUCUGAAAAUAAUAAAAUAGAAAUUCAAAACACAUAAAACAAAAUAAAUAUAAUAACCAUGAAAGCAAAUUAAGUCCCUGUUUGACUCAACAGCUUAUUUGCAGCUCAUAACACAAGCAGAAUAUAACCUAUUUCUAUAGCAAAAGAUAGCAUAAAUUUAAAUUGUUUUCGUUUAACAACCACCAAGCCUUAACACUAUGCGUAUUUGGUCCAUGUCAUAGAGAUUCGACAAAGUUUUUUUGUAAACUAUCUUGGACAACGUAUGAAAAUAAGCUGAAAACUGCUUAUAAACAAUAUCUUAAAACUGUUUUCAUAUGUUCUCUGAAACAGUCUCAUAAAACUUAUAUCAUUACAUAAACUGAAAUAAGUUAAUCCAAACAGGAUCAAAGUUCGCAUUUUUCAUCUAUAAUAAUUGAAUCAAUAAGCACCAACCUGAGGAAUAUUCUGUCUAUGUUGAGGAGAUAAAAAAGGCUCAACAACCGAAGCAACAGUCACAACCAAUACCCUACCCUCAAAGUUAUCACCAUAUAGACCCUUAGCUACUUGAGCAUCACAAAAAGCUUCAGGUACAAGCAACCCAGAAGCUGAAAGAGUUGUUUCACCAGAACUACACAAUACCCAGAAAAAGAAAAGAAAACCCACGUAGUCAAAAAUGCUAAAAAAAAAAAAACGAAAGUUUGAUUGAAAAAAAGGGGAAAUUAUUACCGGUAAUGAUGAAAAGCGUGUUUUCUCAUCUUCAUUCCUUUUGGGUCCUGAAAAUGGAAAUUGUAAGGUGAGUGAGUGAUCAUGAUUAUGCAUAAUUGGGAUUGUUCGGAGAGAGAGACUUACAGGACCACGAAUUUUGACCAUAACGGAGAAGUUUCGAGCAAAAUUGAAGAUUUCUGAAUGAUCCAUUUUGUGGUGUGGUGGAUGAAAUGAAUAGAUGUUGGGAUGAGUUUCAAUUUGAAGUAGGAGGAGAAUCUAUGCAACAGUUGCAACUUGCAAACACUGGGAAAAUGGUAUUUUAUUGAGGACAUUAACGAAUCAUUUUCUCAUAAUCAACUAUUUUGAUUAAUAAUAUACUAGAUCAAAUACUAUUUUGUAAUUUAAAUACAUUAAAAUAUUGUUUUAAUUAUUAUUAUCCCUAAUAAAACCAUAAUUAUUCAACCAAAUUAUAGAGGUUUUAUCAUUUGUUAGCAAAAUGGUUUAAAUUGAUAAGAGAUUUGCAAAAUGCCCCUAUAAAAAAUCACAUAAUUUUGAUAUUAUUUUUAUUUUUGACCUUUUGUUGUUAUGGGUUGAAUUUAUUUAACGUUAAAAUAUGAGGAGUACAAAAAAACAUAGAAAAUGGGUCGACCCGAAAUGAAAGCCCAAUGGGCCAAAAGCAAGUCAUAUAUAAAUCUCUUUCUUCCACUCCGAAACCCUAAAACCUUGUUUGGGUUCCUCCUCCAGCCAGCCAGCCAGCCAGCCAGCGUGAGACAAACCGAGAAAAUGGGUAUGCUGUUUCGAUUCAUUCAUUAAUCUUGUUUAGAAUUAAUAAUCAUCGAAAUGUGAUGUAAUUGUUGUUGUUAUUUGUGAAUUGUGAAUAGGUGCAUACAAAUACAUUUCUGAGCUAUGGAGGAAGAAGCAAUCGGAUGUGAUGAGAUUCAUGCAGCGUGUGAGGUGUUGGGAGUAUCGUCAACAAUCUUCCAUUGUUCGUCUCACCAGACCCACUCGUCCUGACAAAGCUCGCCGUUUGGGUUACAAGGCCAAGCAGGUAUCUAUUCUUCAUCUUAUGAUUAAUAGUACAUUAAAGUUUGUUCCUAUUUGUUUUGUAUAAGCUUAAAAAUAAGUCAAUCCAAAUGGGCACAUUAUGCUAUGUAGGUUUUUUGUUUAUAUAAUUGUUAAGAUGUGAACUUCAUUGAUUUUAGGGUUAUGUUGUGUACCGAGUGAGGGUACGUAGGGGUGGAAGAAAGAGGCCUGUUUCCAAGGGUAUUGUAUACGGUAAGCCCACUAACCAGGGAGUUACCCAACUCAAGUUUCAAAGGAGCAAGAGGUCUGUCGCCGAGGAGCGUGCUGGGAGGAAGCUCGGUGGCCUUAGGGUUCUCAAUUCCUACUGGGUCAAUGAGGAUUCUACCUUCAAGUAUUUUGAGGUCAUUUUGGUUGAUGUUGCUCAUAGUGCUAUAAGAAAUGAUCCAAGAAUCAACUGGCUCACUAAUCCUGUCCACAAGCAUAGAGAACUUCGUGGACUCACUUCUGCUGGCAAAGAAAACAGAGGUUUGAGUGGUAAAGGGCAUCGUUACCACAAAGCCCGUCCUUCCCGCAGGGCAAACUGGAAGAGAAACAACACCUUGUCUCUCCGUCGCUACCGUUGAUUUUACUGCAGUUGUUUUGUGUUGCUUCAUUUUCUGGAUAUCGAGUGCAUUAUAUUUAGACUUUGGAUAAUUUAAUUAUCAAGUUUUUGUGUUUCCAAUCUGUGUCUUUGCCUAGAAACUCAUUUUUGUUGUUAAUGAAGAGUGAUUAUUGGCAAUUUUCCCUUGUUUGAUCACUUGUUCUUUAAUUUGAUCAAAUUAUUAAUAUCAUGUUCUAGUUUAUCUAUGUUUUGCUUUGUUGUUUGGAUUGACACUGUAUCAUCCACUAGGACUGCAAGUUUCUGGAUUUUCAAACGAAGGUUUUAUGCAUACAACAAUGCUGCAGUAACACCUGCUCUCAUCUGGCUGUCUAAACAAAAUUCCCGAUCCUAAUUGACAUGUUUUUAAUUGUAUCAUCUGUUACAAUAUCAAAGAUAUUAUUAUUUUGCUGUCAUGUAGCUAUCAUGUGAUGGUUUUCUUGUAGCUUCAAAACAGUAAACUAUCCUCAAGGCACAUUGAUGGAUGAUUACGUUCUUAUCUCUGGUGUCUGGUUUUCAUUUCUUUUAUGUUUCUACUGUUAAAGUUGAGUUUUCCUUGAUUUUGUGAUGAUGGGUAGAUUUAUUUUUUUUAUUAGAAGUGAUGGAUGAAUAGUCCGGGGAUUCUUUAGGGAUCACGUAAGUUGAAUCUUUGAUUACUACAAAUGAAUACAAUGGUAGCUGAUGCAAAAAUUGCCCAGUACGGUUUGGAAUUAUUGUUGUGACAAAUCUUCUACAAAAAGGUCUCUCAUAAUUGAAGCAAUCUUUGUUAAAACUAGUCUUCAGAUAUUUAGGAUACUAUUCCAUGUUUGUGUUGUGUCCAUUUUUUUAAUUGAUGUCCAUGUGAAUAUUUUUAAUAAUAUGUUGUUGCUGUGGUAUCAUUUCAUCUCCAGACAUGUUUAGCUGAGGCAAAUAACUGCUUCACAAAAAGAACUGCUUCAGUUGAUGAAGCAAUUCUCUAACAAAAUGAAUUGGUUCAUUUUUUUAGAGAAAUAAGCUUAUAGCAUUUCAUUAAUCAAAAUGUGUUCAAUACAUUCUGGUAUAUUAACCAGAAUCUGGAAACUAGCUGAUGAUGAGGCCGCCUUAGCUAAUUCAUGGGCAACCUCAUUCGCUUGUCUCCGAAUAAACUCCACACUAGAGUUUUCAUAAAAUAAAUUGAAAAGAGUUUUACAUCUGUGUAUAAUGCUACCAAACUCUGUAGCAUCAUGUUGUGCAGAUAAGAAGCUGUCAACAACUCUUUUCGCGUCAAGCUCGAAAUCAAUUGGUCCAAGUUGAAGAAGAUGAACCCAUUCUAAAGCAGAUAGUAAACCAAGAGCUUCUCCCACAUGAACAUCACAAAGAGGACUAAUCCAUUCGGUUCUAGCCAACACAAAGGAACCUGAGUCAUCCCUAAUACAAAUUCUGAUUCCCACCCUGUUUAAAUGCUUGGAGAAGGAUGCAUCAAUAUUGCAUUUGAAUCUACCUUCCAAGGGUUUCUGCCAUCUUGGAUAUUGAACAGGUCUUUGCAUAUUAGAAGUUGGUUGGCAAAAAUCCUUAGCUGUCUUCCAGUCAUCUAGUAAAGUCUUUGCGCGGUCAAAAACGAAUCUUUGUGCGUCAGUCAAUUCAUUCCAAACCUUAUUAUUCCUUUGUUUCCAAAUGCUCCACAAAGUACAACAAAACAAGGCUGCAUCACCAGCAUUCAGCACCUGCAGCAUGUUAAAAAUAUUUCCAGCACUGUCCUGGCCUUGAUUUAUCACCCCACUCAUAGAUUGAAAAGCAUCAAACAUAGUCCAGAUGUUAGAACUGCUAGGGCAUUUAAAAAAGAGAUGGUAACUGUCCUCGUCAUCAUCCGAGUUACAUAAAACACAACGAGUUGGACAAUUUACGCCUUUGUCUCUGAGCCUCAUCCUUGUUGGGAGACAGUUUCUACAAACCCUCCAAAUAAAAUUCUUAACUUUAGGAGGUAUUCUAAGAUUCCAUAGCAAAUUCUAGGAGCCUUGCACCUUGAAAUGAUUGACAUCAAAUAAUUCUUGGAUACAAAGACGAUAUGCACUGCGCACAGAAUACUCACCAUUCUCCAUAUUUUUAACUACGAAGGCACAUUUUCCGGCAAUGCAUUCCUUUAUUGAUAUUUUGAAAGGGGUUGAUUUGAUCAAAUUUAGGUUUAGAUUACUUCAGUUGUAUGUGCUAUUGUCUCUGGCAAAUUUGUCUUAAAAGGGGUUGAUUUGAGCAAAUUUAGGUUUAGAUUACUUCAGUUGUAUGUGCUACUGUCUUUGGCAAAUUUGUCUUAGUUUUGAUAACAUUUAUUCUGACAUGGAUUUUUCUAUCCAGGGCAUUAAUAAAGAAUUUGAAUUGGGUUUCUCUGUCUCAGUGCAUUUGUUUUUGCAAGUUCUGCACUUGAAUAAGCAAUCACAUGGGUUGUUGGAUAUGUUAAAAUCAUUUAAGUAAAUGAUGAUGACAACUAGAAAAAUUGUGAAACUGCCAUAGAAAAAUUGAAUUGUGAAAUGUAUAUAGAUGUUAAGUUCUGCCAAAAAAUUGCGGAGAGAUGAAAUUUCUUCAAGUGGAACAACAUAGUUAUAACAGAUGAAGGGGAAAAAAAUAUAAACUGUUGAGUGUAUAGAAGGGUUGGUGUUUUUCUGAUUGUGUGACUGCGUAAUUCCCUUUGACUACAGAAAAUCCGAAUUAUUUAAGGUAUCAAUCGAAACUUUGAUAGUUAUUAGCUGGUAUACUUAAAUGGGCUAAAAACAUAUUUAAAUUUAUUAUAAACCUGGUUUUUCUCAAGUUAGAAAUUAUUAAUGAAGGCCGACUCCAUUGUUGAGAAGUUGAUACAUUGUGGUGCAAUAACUUCCGGAAACCAACUCAUCCAAACUUUUUAUUAGAAAAAAAAGUAGAAUUUAAACAAUUUUAAAAAAUGUUGAGUUUAAGCAACCAAUAUGCACCCUCCUUUCUUUAAAGUAGCAAGCUAUUCCAUUUCUCUCUACGAAAGUUUGUAGUCUGAAUUCAGUCAAUACACAAUAGAUGGAAUGAUCAAUAGCAAUAUCAAUAAUCUUAACCACAGUGUUAAUAAAAUCCAAUUGUUCAAACGCGAAUAAAUUAUAUUAUCUUCGCCUUUAUAUAGAAAAUUAUAUAGUAGGCUUCCCGCAUUGGGCAUAUUUCAAGCGUGCGGUUGCUUGGUGAGGUUAAACAUAGUAGGUUUUGGGGUCUAUAGGGAUGUUGCGUGCAAUAGGUUUGGGAUGGAGAUUGUGGUAUCCCAUUGAUUUUUUUUGCACCGUUGGAUAGUUGAUAUUCUUUUGACAUGUUGAUGUACAAGCCUUUAAUUGUACUUGGGUUGUAUAGUUUUUAUUUGCAUUUGGUACUAUUGUUUUGUCCUUAUACGGCUUGAGUUAUUUUUAAUACGUUAUUUAAUAGCUAUUGCAUUUAUGAGACACUGUUGCAUGUACAAGCGGUUCUUCUUGUUCGUUUACUAUAAAAGCCACACACCUUCUGCUUUGUUGCUCAUCGUUUUGGGCUCUCUUUGCUUUGUUUGUUGAGUGGUUAAAGUUGUAUUUGUUUUGUGUUGGUCGCGAUGGUUAUGGAUAACUCAUUUGUUAAGUCGUCUGUUGUUGUUUCUGGUAUUCCUGGAAAUUUGUUGUUCUGGUGGUUAGGAUGUGGAAAUUUGUUAAGCUCGGUGGAGUUGGUGUUGGUUGAUCAGAAUGUAAGUGUUUAUCUGUACAGGGCUAUAUAUAUUGUAUGAUUGUGUUUGUUUCUCUGACGAAGUGUGCUUACUAGCUAAUAUUUGUGGAUGUUGAUAUUUUAUGAUAUAUGUUUUUUAUCCUGAUAAUUUAAUUAAUUUUGUUUUUUGAUUAUUUUCUUGAAUAGGUCUGAAGUAUUUGGAUGCGUUACGGAAUAAGGUUUUUGUCGAAGACCUGUGAAUGUUUGAUCUUUGAGAGUUUCUCGUGUUAGCUUAGGAUAAAGGCAUUGGUGAGAUGUGGUUGGUUGGGUGAUGAAGACCGGGUUAUUUUGUCGACGAAUUUAGUUUAAUUCUACAUGUUUGUGUAGCGUGAAUGGUUGAUUAUUUUGUUCCCUAAAAAAAAUGAUUAUUUUGCAUAUGUUUCUUGUGGUAGCCUGUUUAUUGUUUUGAUUUGCCCUUUUUGGGUUAUCAAUUAUGUGUAGUUCUCUUUUAUUCGAUCAUCGAUCGAUCUUGAUUGAAGUUUUGUGUAAGCCUUGUAUUUGUAUAUUUUGUUGGAAUGGUCAGGCAAGGUAUCUAUUGAAAUAAUCAUAAAUUUUAACAAUUAUUAUUUACACCCGUGCGUCACGCUCGGGUUCUUGACUAGUUUCUUUAUACAGAGUAUUUUUUGUAAAAGAAUAAUGCCUCUAAUAAUUUUAAAAUAAAACUUAUAUUUAGAGAGACAUCUUUUUCUUCAAAUAAAACUUUAAGAGAAAAAGGUUUACAAAUUAUAGUUCAACUAAUAAAAAUAUUAAAAUUGUUAAACCAAACACCGUGAACAAAAUUUGAAUACCAAUUUUUUAACUUGUACAUGUUAAUUUUCAAAUGUAAAUUAUUUCUUCUAACUGCCAAAAAAAAACUUUUGGAGACAAAGGCCGUGUACAUUUUUCUUUAUAGUAGUAUAAAGAACCUUUUAACUAAACUUCAUCGAUUAAGUUGUCGUAGGGAUUUCAAUGGGUCAAUCGUUUUUUAUUCGAUAUUGGGAGUUAGUGUGUAGCUUCAGAUUUUUGGGAUGGUCAUGGUGCCUUUUUCGAUGGACCGAGAGUUGAGGAGUGCCUUAGUGAUUUGCUUAUGGAGUUUGAUGGGGCGAUCACUUUUGCUUUGAGAUUGAGAAUCAAGUUCUAGACUAAAGUCAAUUGGGCUUGUUUGGUGUCUUCUCCGGCAGACCGGGGGUCAAUCGGUGGUGGAAUCUGAAUGAGUGUGAAAAAAAUGCUUUUAUGGUGUUUUUUUUUUUGUGAAGAGACGUUUUUAUGGUGUUUAUUGGAGCUCAAGGGUGGGAAGAGAAUGUAAGAUGUUAUUUUAGGGGUUUUGGUCGGUUCUUAUGGUUUUUUUGAAGGGUUUUUGGUACGAUUAGCGGACGAUUGGUGUUUGAAACUUGUGUUUGCAGUCAUCCAUGAUGAAGUUUGAGGUUCUGUCUUUACUUUUGAUUUAUGCAGUUAUGUGGGGAUUUGGUUGACUUUGGUGGUUAGUUUCUAUUGAUUUUUAUGGUAGCAAUUAGUUUGGUGGUGUUUUUAUUGGAGUUUUGAUGUGCGGAGUAUAAGGUUUUCUUUUAGGUGUUAUGUCUAUAUAAUGUGCCUUUUGUUAUAUCAUUUAUGUCUUAUCGGUUUCUGUUCAUCUUGUGCAAUUAUUAGUUUUUAAUAAAUUUUGUCGUUAAAAAAACUAAACUUCAACGAUUCAUAACUGGUGGGUUCUAUUUAUAAAUUAGGAUCAUGUUAACCAUUGCCUAUGAGGCACUAGUUAAAAAAGUUAUAAAAAAAAAAAAAAAAAAUUAAAAAACAACAAUUUUUUAACUUUCAUAAAGUAAAAAUUCCCACUUUUUAUUAUUUUCUAAUACAAAAUUUAUACAUUAGUCCCCUUAACUAAUGCCCGGAAUCACUAGUUAACAUUUUCUUAUAAAUUAUCACUCCUAAACAAUUUACAUUCCUGUACACGAAAAUGAAGAGAUACAUUAAAAAUUACAGGAAAAAAAUUGAAGUAGCAAAACAUAAUAAAAGUCAAGGAUCCGAUAAUAUCUGUGACAGGCCUUUUGUUGUCGAUAUUCAAACAAUGGAUAAGAUCAAUCCCUCGAUUUCUCUUAUCACGCUUCAUCAUAUCUUAUUUUAUUUGUCACUUAGAAGAGAACUUGGUGUUGGUGGUCCCCAAAACUUAUUCAAUUAUUUCCAAGUAUUAUUAUUAAUCAGGAUGAUUAGGACAUCCAUUAAUUUAGUGUAGGAUGUAAGCAUCGCAGCUGAAUUAUUACGAUAGACUGUGCCAAUCCAUAGAGAUAAAACUUGCAUCACCUCAUUAUGAAUAUUAAUCAAUUAUAAGUCACUUUGUAAUAUCCAAUUAUUAUCAAUCCAAGCUAUUUACCAAGAUGGAAUUGCACACUUACAUGGUUACGUUAUCACACUAGAAGGAGAAAGAAAAAAAAAAAAGGCUCACAGACUCUUAUUUUAAUACUAGUAGAUUAAUUAACACUUAUGGAAGGAGAAAAAACAAAGAAGAGAGAUAAACCUGUUAAGGCAAAGCUAGAUAACAAAACUCGAAUUAAUACAAGGAAAUUAAAGCAUACUAAGCAUUUUACAUUCGGAUUCAGAUUAGAUGCUUAUAUGUAAAAACAAACAUGGUACACCAGACCGAUCAGAUCACGACACGUGAUGAUGAUACAGACACGUGGCAGACGAUCAACAAAACAGGAAAAUAUUUACAUGCAACCAAGGAAGAUUUGGUGGCCACAUCAACGGUGCUUGCUCCUUGUGUCCCCACUGUACAUCCUGCAAUCACAUACAAUCCAAUUAAUUUUUAUAUGUUUGUGAUGAGAUAGAUUUAAUUAAAUCUAUGUAAAUAUAAAUUACGAACAGUAAUACUCCCUCCGUCCCUUAAUAAAUGACUUAGUUGACAAUAUGCAUUAUUAACUUGAUAUACUUUGACCAUAUUUUUCUACUAAUUCACAAAGAUAAAUAAUAUCAUGUAAGAUGUUGUUGGAUUCGUCUCGAUGAGUAUUUUUAAAAUAUUAAAUUUUUAUAAUUUUUUUUAGUAGAGAAUUGAAGAUAUCAAAGAUAAAACAUAUGUAUUGGUAUGUGUGUCAGAGUCAACUAGAUCAUUUAUUUAGGGACGGAGGGAGUACAGCUUUUAAAAGAAAAAAUCACAACUAAAAUCAAGUUAUUUCCUCUAAAAAUAAAUCAAAUUAUUUGAGUGACAAGUAACAGUUAGAUCUACCAUAUAAUAUAUAUGGUUCUUCUAACAAAAGGAAUUAAGUAUAAUAAGUCAUUUUUGUUCGAUAAAACCAAAAAUAAAAUAUAUAAUGAAAGAAACACUAGCUAAGUAGCAUAAUUUUACAAACCUUAUAAAUACAAUAAAAAAGAACAAGACUUUUUUUUAUUGAAAGAAAAUAUCAUAACAAGACUUAUAAAUAUCAUAAUUAUACGCAUGCAUGUGUCUUAAAAAAAAAA